CCGCCACCCCUUCCCCAUCUGAGGGCUGCCGCACCCCUUAGGGGUGGGAACCCUAAGGGCUGCGCCCCCUCCCUCUCCCCCUAUAUAUAGAUGAGGUCCGGGGUUGUUUGAGACACGGUUUAAUCUCUCUCUCGCAUCCCUGCUUCUCUCCCUCCUCCUCUCUGCCGGCGCUUUGGCGAAGCCUUGCCGGGAGACCUCGUCUCUCCACCAACACCACGCCGUCGUGUUGCUGGUCUUCUUCCUCAACCUCUCCCUCCUCCUUGCUGGAUCANNNNNNNNNNNNNNNNNNNNNNNNNNNNNNNNNNNNNNNNNNNNNNNNNNNNNNNNNNNNNNNNNNNNNNNNNNNNNNNNNNNNNNNNNNNNNNNNNNNNGGAUGGUACAGAAACACCAGAGGCUUGACUCGUUGAGUUGGGUCGCUACACCUAAACAGCUGAAUAAUGGUGAGUACCACAUUUUUACCACCAACGGCUGCAAAAAGGAUAGGGAGCGUAAGUAGACAUCCAUCAACAUGAUUGAGCCAACAUUCCCUAGAUAUCUCAACUCGUCCGAGCAACCAAUUGUUUGGAGCCAUGAGGAUCAACCGCCUCGGGUUGAUAACCCGGGAGAUCUAGCUUUGGCAGUAGCACCUCAGGUUGGUGGAUACACCCUCACAAAAGUCCUCAUGGAUGGAGGGAGCAGCAUCAACAUUUUAUAUUAUGACACUUUCCGGAGGAUGAACCUGCAGGACAACACUUUGCAAACUUCGUCCAUAGUUUUUUGUGGAAUCAUUCGUGGGAAGUCAGCAUGCCCAGUUCGGCGGAUCAAGCUUAAUGUUGCUUUUCGGGAUGAACAUAAUUCCAGAUGUGAGCCCCUAAUGUUUGAGGUGGUGAAAAUAAAGAGUCCUUAUCAUGCUCUCUUUGGAAGGCUGGCUUAUGCCCGGUUCAUGGCCCGUCCUUGUUAUAUCUACCUUAAGCUCAAUAUGCUGGGUCCUAAAGGCACCAUAAUAGUGGGAGGUAGAAUAAAGAUAGCUCAAGAAUGUGAGGAAGGAGAUGUUGCUUAUGCUGAGUCGGCCUGUGCUACUGAAAAGAUAAAAUCCCUCACAGACAACUCUGGUAAAGCUUCUCUCAAGUAAGCCACCAGUUUGAGUAAUCCAACCCGGCCAAUUUCUUUUUGCCCUAUCACACUAGGAGCUACCGUCUCAUUAUCUUUUGUACCAAUCCCCAAAUUCUGUACAUACUUCUAAAAUAUUUGAAUCUAAUAAAGCUUGCUUUUAGCAAAAUUGAGCAUGAGUUUUUUACCACCCAGUAUGUUAGCUGGGGGCUUCAAAGUUCAAAUAAAUUAUUAUGGUCAAUAAAAUUAAGUCGGCUUAUCUCGGUGCUACCUGCCCCGAGUUGUUUAGCAGUAAUAGCAUUGUCUUCUGCAAUCCUAUGUCAGGCCUUUCUAUUUUGAUAAUAGGUCACUUGGAGGCUUCGAACUCAAAGAGUUCAGCCUCUUACCCUCUUGAUCGUCAAAGACGCCACAAAAUUAUUAAACCUGUUGGUAUUUUUUGGCGACUCUGAAGAAGGUGACUCUGUGUACUCUUGAUUGAUCAUUCCAUUAUGGACCCUGAAUCGGCAAGGUUAAAACAUGGGUAUAUCAUGUGAGAACUGACAUGUUGAAAGCUAGGAUAAAUCUUGGGUUAUUAUGCCUGCUUCGUUGAACCAAGUCUAGGCCUCAAAAGUUAACAUUUUAUUUUUAACCGCGUCUCACUAAGCCGGUUUGCGAGUCUUGACUAAUACUCUGCAUGAUAUAUUAUUUUUUAGAAACUUUUUGUAGAGAGUACCAUUUAAAAACUAUCAUAAAAACAUGAUUAUUACAUGUUCCAAAUAUUUUGUUUUUAAAUAAAUUUUAUUUUCUCCUGCAAUAAUGGCGUAAGGAGAUGGAACAGCGUUACCACAUCAUCAUGGAAAACCGGGUCAUAAGAGAUAUAGCUAUAAAGUUUCUGAUGGUUGGCUGAAAUAAACACGCUCGAAGGCGUGACCACAUGCAUCUCAGAGUUGUCGCUACCCUAUUACAGACUCACAUCAAGAGUCAUCAAAAUCCAAAAAGGAAUUUACCAGAAGAUAAAGUUUUUAUGAUAGGCGAGUUAUUUAUGACCCACCAUCAGUUUACGCCGUUGGCACAUUCCGCACCCGAUUCUUCCGACUCGUCGUCAUCAUCAAUAUGAUCCUGGCCUUGUUGGAUCCACCGAAUUGAUCUCGGAGAUUCAAAAUCUGAAGCGGUCCCAGUUGAAGUAGAAGAUCUGAUGUUAGAAUCCGUCUUUUUCUCAUAAUGAGGUGGAAUGAGCUCCAGAUGCUCGUCUUUAGGUACUAGAACACGCUCAUUAUCAGUGGUAUAUGUCGGGUGAUACGUCUCAAAACGUAUCUAUAAUUUUUGAUGGUUUCACGUUGUUAUCUUGUCAACUUUGGAUGUUUUAUUACCUUUUAUAUCUUUUUUGGGACUAACUUAUUAACUCAGUGCCAAGUGCGAGUUCCUGUUUUUUCUAUGUUUUUGACUCUUUUCAGAUCUGAUUUUGGAACGGAGUCCAAAUGGAAUAAAAUCCCCGAAAUGAAUAUUUCCAGAAUGGAAGAAGAUUGGGAGGCUUGAGGCCAAGCAAGUGGGCCCACAGGGGGCCCACAAGCCCUGUUGCCGCGACCAGGGGGGAGGCCGCGGCAACCAAGCUUGUGGCCUCCCUGGCGCUCCCCUGCCCUAGGUCUUUGGCCUAUAAAUUCCCUAAAAAUCCAGAAAAAAUCAGGGCGUCCACAAAAACACUUUUCCGCCGCCACAAGCUUCCGUUUCCGCGAGAUAUCAUCUGGAGACCCUUCCCGGUGCCCUGCUAGAGGGGACUUUGGAGUUGGAGGGCUUCUUCAUCAACAUCAUCGCCCCUCCAAUGACUCAUGAGUAGUUCACUUCAGACCUACGGGUCCGUAGUUAGUAGCUAGAUGGCUUCUUCUCUCUCUUGGAUCUUCAAUACGAAGUUCUCCAUGAUCUUCAUGGAGAUUUAUCCGAUGUAAUCCUCUUUGGCGGUGUGUUUGUCGAGAUCCGAUGAAUUGUGGAUCUGUGAUCAGAUUAUCUAUGAUAUAUAUUUGAGUCUUUGCUGAUUUCUUAUAUGCAUGAUUUGAUAUCCUUGUAAGUCUCUCCGAGUCUUGGGUUUUGUUUGGCCAACUAGAUCUAUGAUUCUUGCAAUGGGAGAAGUGCUUGGUUUUGGGUUCAUACCGUGUGGUGACCUUUCCCAGUGACAGAAAGGGCAGCAAGGCACGCAUCAUGUUGUUGCCAUCAAGGGUAACAAGAUGGGAUUUUAUCGUAGAUAUGAGAUUGUCCAUCUACAUCAUGUCAUCUUGCUUAAGGCGUUACUCUGUUCUCAUGAACUUAAUACACUAGAUGCAUGCUGGAUAGCGGUCGACGUGUGGAGUAAUAGUAGUAGAUGCAGAAAGUAGCGGUAUACUUGUUUUGGAUGUGAUGCCUAUAGAUAUAAUCAUUGCCAUAGAUAACGUCACGACUUUGCGCGGUUCUAUUAAUUGCUCGACAGUAAUUCGUUCAUCCACCGUCUACUUGCUUUCAUGAGAGAAGCCACUAGUGAACACUACGGCCCCCGGGUCUCUUCACACCUAUCGUUUCCACUUUUGCUUUUACUUUGCUUUGUUUCUUUGUUGCUUUCAGUUCUCACUUGGCAAACAAUCUAUAAGGGAUUGACAACCCCUUCAUAGCGUUGGGAGCAAGCUCUUUGUGUUUGUGCAGGUACUUGUGAUAUUCCUUCAUUGGAUCGAUACCUUGGUUCUCAAAAUUGAGGGAAAUACUUACCGCCGCUGUGCUACAUCACCCUUUCCGCUUCGAGGGAACACCAACGCAAGGCUCCAAGGCCACGGGGGAAUCCUUUGCAUAUUUGCCUAGGAAGUCCCUAAAGGCGUAGCCGUAGCAGAAGGAUUCCUGGUGCCGUUGGUGAGGAGUAUCAAGGCAAGAAUAGUCUCCCGUCAGCACGCUUGUUUCUGGCGCCGUUGGAAGGUCUUUUGUUGCAGUAGCACCGGGUAAUGAUGAGAGGUAUCAACCAGCUCUGCCAGAAUGGUUGCAAGGGGUCGGGUCUCCUUCAUGACACGAGCUAACGGGGGGAUAACUCCGGAGUAGGCUCAUCAAGCCUACUCCUCUAUACUUCAGUGUAGAGAGGGGCGAAAGCUUCCUCAAUGACCGGCUCCUCCUGGCCGGCUAUAAAGUCCAUGCUGCCUAAGAGCGUAGCCGUCUACUCUCUGGCCGGCUGGCUAGCCGCCAUCUGGCUGAAGGGCACCUGUCGCAUCGAUCCCCAUGAUGUGACGGGGCCUUCGAUUAAAGGCGAAAGUACCUCAGCACGGGUACGAUGGAGAAGCAUACACAUGGCUACCGUGGCGGCGGCCGUACUGCUAACCGGUGCCGGCUCCGACCCAUCAACAGUGUAAAGUACCCGCAUGCCACUACCAACUCCAUUACCUGGCCCGGCGUGGCUACAGUAGAGACGGCCGUACCGCUGACCGACGCCGGAUCCUGCAAGACGACGUCCGUCGUACCGCACGCACCCUGCAUUGGGAACACGCACCAAUCCAAUAGGCUAGCCGGUGGGUCCCAGGGCCAGAUGGGACCUUGCAGCCGCCGGGCCUCUCGAGCGACAAGACUAAUCCUCAAUGGCCCCCCUAGCCGGCCUGAGAGGCUGCCAGCCGACCCCCCCUAUUGUACCUAUUAUCCAUUUUGUAGGCCGGUGGGUUCGUCUAUAACCCCCCGGCCCCCCUCCAUGCAGAGGGCCAGCCAUUCUCACACCCACACACAUCACACAGGAGAGGCAGAUAGCGAGCCGGCUGCUCCUUCUUCCUCCUCCAUCGAACAGCUCAAGGAGCAUUUUGUAAUCACCUUGGUUCAUCAGCCAUUCCGAUAGGACUAGGGGUAUUAUCUCCCAUGGAGAGCCCCGAACCUGGGUACAUCGUGUGUCUUGCAUUAUUAGCUACCAAUCUCGUUCCCGGAGUCCACCGGUGUCCCUUCAGUCCCAACCACUCUCGAUAAGCCUACCCAUGGCAUUUGUCGUGAGAAAACGACGAUAGUUGGCGCCCACCAUGGGGCCGUCUGCGGCACCGGUCUGAGUUACGCUCGGGCGGGACCCUUCGCCAACCCUACCGGAUGCCUCGCGUCUCGACUGAUCAGCACACCCAUGGAGGCUGCCCCUGCGGAGGUUUCUGUGGUGUUGAUCGACAACUCAGCCCGUCUCGUCGGCUCUGCCAUUGAGAUCACCAACGAGCCUCUCGGUGACGGCGUUGCCCCUGACGUCGCUCGCCUCUGCGUUCUCUUCGACAACCUACGCCUCGAUGAUGAGCCUCGCCAACUUGGCAGGGACAUCGACAUCGAUGCCCUCUGCACACACUUCAACAAACUCAGUCUCGAAGAUGCUCCUGCACACGACGAGUACCUGAUACGUCUCCAACGUAUCUAUAAUUUUUUAUGGUUCCAUGCUAUUAUAUUGUCAAACUUUGGAUGUUUUGUAUGACUUUUAUAUCUUUUUUGGGACUAACUUAUUAACUCAGUGCCAAGUGCCAGUUCCUGUUUUUUCCGUGUUUUGACCCUUUUCACACGAGAAUAUUAAAUGGAGUCCAAACGGAAUAAAACUUCCGAAAAGAUGUUUUCCGGAACAGAAGAUACGCAUGGGGCAUGAGAACCAAGGCAGAGGCCACCAUGGGAGGCCACAAGCCCCCUAGGCGCGUCCAGGGGGACCUGCGCCUAGCAGGCUUGUGGCCCCCCUGUGGCUCGUCUGCCCUACUUCUUCCGCCUAUAAAUCCUCGAAAAAUCCAAAACCACGAGAGAGAUCGACGAAAAUACUUUUCGGCCGCCGCAAGCUUCUGUCCCCGCAAGAUCCCAUCUGGGGCACGUUCUGGUGCCCUUCCGGAGGGGGAUUCGGAUACGGAGGGCUUCUUCAUCAACACCAUUGCCUCUCUGAUGAUGCGUGAGUAGUUCACCCUGGACCUUCGGGUCCAUAGCUAGUAGCUAGAUGGCUUCUUCUCUCUCUUGGAUCUUCAAUACAAAGUUCUCCAUGAUCUUCAUGGAGAUCUAUCCGAUGUAAUAUUCUUUUGCGGUGUGUUUGUCGAGAUCCGAUGAAUUGUGGAUUUCUGAUCAGAUUAUCUAUGAAUCUUAUUUGAGUUUCUUCUGAUCUCUUAUAUGCAUGAUUUCAUAUCCUUGUAAUUCUCUUCGAGUUGUGGGUUUUGUUUGGCCAACUUGAUCUAUGAUUCUUGCAAUGGGAGAAGUGCUUAGUUUUGGGUUCAUACCGUGCGGUGACCUCACCCAGUGACAGAAGGGGUGGCGAGGCACGCAUCGUGUUGUUGCCAUCAAGGGUAAAAGGAUGGGGUUUAUAUCUAUUGCAUGAAGUUAUCCAUCUACAUCAUGUGAUCUUUCUUAAGGCAUUACUCUGUUCGUCAUGAAUUCAAUACACUAGAUGCAUGCUGGAUAGCGGUCGAUGUGUGGAAUAAUAGUAGUUGAUGCAGAAAGUAUCGGUCUACUUGUCUCGAAUGUGAUGCCUAUAUGUAUGAUCAUUGCCUUAGAUAUCGUCAUGACUUUGCGCUGUUCUAUCAAUUACUCGACAGUAAUUUGUUCACCCACCGUAAUAUUUGCUAUUUUGAGAGAAGCCUCUAGUGAACACUAUGGCCCCCGGGUCUACUUCACAUCAUAUUUUCAGCCUUACACUUUUACUUCAUUGCACUUUCCGCCUUCAGAUCUCACUUUGCAAUUAAUCUUGAAGGGAUUGACAACCCCUUUAUAGUGUUGGGUGCAAGCUCGUUUGUGUUUGCGCAGGUACUCUGGACACUUGGCUUGAUUCUCCUACUGGAUUGAUACCUUGGUUCUCAAACUGAGGAAAAUACUUACUGCUACUAUGCUGCAUCACCCUUUCCUCUUCAAGGGAAAAACGAACGCAAGCUCUAGAGGUAACAAGAAGAAUUUCUGGCGCCGUUGCCGGGGAGGAUCAUGUCAAGAAUAGUCUCCCGUCAACGUGUCAAUUUCUGGCACCGGGGAUUAUUCUAAGUGAAGCUUAUCCAAGUAAGUGUCGCAAACUCAUCUCUUGAAUUUACUUUUUUUUGCCUCUAGUUUUCCUCUCCCCCACUUCUGAAAAAAACAAAAAUUUACAAAAAUAUUUUCCUUUUUCGUUCGCCCUUUUCCUUCGCUUGCUUCCUGCCUGCUUGAGUGGGAUAGUCUACCUUUCCUCAUGGCUAGACCUACCGCUUCGAACGAUACUCCCGAGAGCGAAGUUCUCAAUUUUAAACAAAAUUAGGAAGAAGACUUAAAUGACGCUUGGUAUAGGAUUUGCAACACUCAGAGUAGAUCUACUCGUAAGCAAUCUACUACCGUCCUACUUCGCAGCUUUUAUGUGGGUAUUUACCCUUGGAAUAGGUAUGUUCUUGAUACCAUCGUAGGUGGAAGUUUCUUGGGUAGCCAUACCGUUGAUUCUUACGGUGCUUUGAUAAAUCUGGUAGGCUCACCCCCACUCAUGGUUAAUGGAACCAACUUAACUUUGGAACAUGUGAUGCGUAGGUUGGAUAUCAUUGAAAAUAAAGUUGCUACGAUUGAACUCAUUGAGAAUUUGGAUAAAAAGAUCCACAAUCAAAUCACUCAGUACGGAUCCAAGGUGGGAAUGGCUUUGAAAAAUCUAAAGGAGAGGGAACCCACAGUUAACAAAAACUAGGUCAUCAUUCCGCUAGGAUUGGCAAACUAGAGGAUGUUAUAACCAACUUGGGUUCCGCUUUUGCCGCUGUGCAGAACACUCCAAUUUUUACCCACAAUAAGGCCACCAAGUUUGUUUUUGUUCCUAAAAAUAGUGGUGAACCAUCUAGUAAUAUAGAUGAAGACCUUAAGAUGAUGAGGGCUAUUUAUGGUUUGAGCACCAAAGACGAGGAUAUGUGAUUCUUUCACCUUAUGCCUAGCUAAGGGCGUUAAACAAUAACGCUUGUUGGGAGGCAACCCAAUGAAUUUAUAUUUGAUUUUUGCUUUCUGUUUUGUUGCGUCCACACCAUCAUAAUUCUGUUAUGAUUGUGUCUUUUGUGUUUGAGCCAAGUAAAACCUUUAUGACUAGUUUGGUGAUGGUUGUUUGAUCCUGCUGGAAAAAGACAGAAACUUUUCGCUCACGAAAUUAUUUUUCAUUUUAAUCCAUAAAGAGAUUUUGAGUUGAUUCUUUUUGUUGCUGGUUGAUAUGGCAAUUGCCCAAACUGUCGUAAUGUUUCAGAAUUGUUGAGAUACCAGAAGUAUACGAAGUAUACAGAUUGCUACAGACUGGUCUGUUUUUGACAUAUUCUGUUUUUGUUGUGUUGGUUGCUUGUUUUGAUGAAACUAUGUAUAGUAUCGGGGGGGGCGGGUACUGAUACGUCUCCAUCGUAUCUACUUUUCCAAACUCUUUUGCCCUUGUUUUGGACUCUAAUUUGCAUGAUUUGAAUGGAACUAACCCGGACUGACGUUGUUUUCAGCAGAAUUGCCAUGGUGUUGUUUUUGUGCAGAAAUGAAAGUUCUCGGAAUGUCUUGAAACUUUACGGAGAAUAUUUAUGGAAAAUAUGAAAAAUACCUGUGCAAAGAUCCACCGGAGGGGACGGGCCAGUGGGCCACAAGCCCUGUAGCCGCGGCCUCCCCUCUGGUCGCGGCUACGAGGCUUGUGGGGCCCACGUGCCUCUGCCGCCCCCAAUUCCAGCGCUAUAUAUUCCCUUUCAUCCCGGAAAAAAUCAAGAGAGAAGAGUUCAUUGCGUUUCACGAUCCAGAGGCGCCUCCACAUCCCGUUCUUGCCCUGGAGGGCAGAUCUGGAGUCUGUUUUGUGCUCCGGAUCAAGGAGAUCGUCGCCAUCGUCAUCAUCAACCUUCUUCCCUCUCCAAUUCCAUGAAACUCUUCAUCGUUCGUGAGUAAUCUAUUCAUAGGCUCGCUGGGCGGUGAUGAGUAUGAUGAGAUCUAUCAUGUAAUCGAGUUAGUUUUGACGGGGAUUGAUCCCUAGUAUCCACUAUGUUCUGAGAUUGAUGUUGCUACUACUUGGCUAUGCUUAAUGCUUGAAACUAGGGCCCGAGUGCCAUGAAUUCAGAUCUGAACCUAUUAUGUUGUCACCAAUAUAUGUGUGUUUUAGAUCCGAUCUUGCAAGUUGUAGUUACCUACUAUGUGUUAUGAUCCGGCAACCCCGGAGUGACAAUAACCGGAACCACUCUCAUUGAUGACCAUAGUUUGAGGAGUUUAUGUGUUCACCAAGUGCUAAUGCGUUGGUCCGGUUCUUUAUUAAAAGGAGAACCUUAAUAUCCCGUAGUAUCCAUUUGGACCCCGCUGCCACGGGAGGGAUGGACAAUAGAUGUCAUACAAGUUCUUUUCCCUAAGCACGUAUGACUACACACGGAAUGCAUGCCUACAUCACAUUGACGAACGGGAGCUAGCCACAUAUCUCUCCGUGUUAUAACUGUUGCAUGAUGAAUGUCAUCCAACAAAUCACUGAUCCAUUGCCUACGAGUUUGUCCCACUGCUAUUGUUACUUGCUGCUGCUGUUACUUGCUUUGCUCUGCUGCUGUUACUACGGUUGCUGCUACUGUUACUUGCUUCUACUAUUACUUGCUUCGUCAUGCUGCUGCUGCUACUACUGUUGCUACUACUGUUACUUGCUGUUGCUGUUACUUGCUACUGUUGCUAAUUGCUACUCCUAUCACUACUGCUGUUCCUUGCCACUACUGUUACUCGUUACACUGCUGCUACCUGCUACAAUACUUUUCUGGUGCCAUUGAUACUUCAGUUAGGAAUAAUCUGUCGUCAACAGAUUCUUUCCUAGCACCGUUGCUAUCAUACUACCUUUGCUGCUUAUAUACUGCUUGCAGAUACUAAUCUUUCAAUUGUGUUUGAGCCAACAACUCAACUGCUAAUACUGGAGAAUAUCCUUUCAUUCCCAUCGUGUCGAACCAACAAAUUUGGGUUGAAUACUCUACCCUCAAAACCUGCCGCGAUCCCACACGCUGGUGGGCCAUUGCAAGACAAUUGCUAAUUGUUGAGCAACUGGAAACAACUCUUUUUUGGCACCGUUGCCGAGGAGGAAUAGCUAUAUUCUCUGAGUCACUUGGGAUUUAUAUCUUGUGAUCACUAUGAAGAAUCGGAAAGAUCUGAGAACCAAAGUCUUGCCCUCAACUCUGAGGGGAGGUAAGGAACUGCCAUCUAGCUCUGCACUUGAUUCACCUUCAGUUAUGAGUAAGUUUGCGACACCACCUCGUGCUAGAAAUCUUGAUAUGUCGCGUGUGCUAGAUGAUGCUAGAGAUGCUACUGCUAUUGAUGAUGCUUAUGAUGAUACUAUGCCUGAUACUGCUAGAGAUGCUAUGCGUGAUACUGCUAGAGAUGCUAUGCCUGAUACUGCUAUCCAUGAUGCUAUGCUUGAUGCUGCUUUGCCUGAUGAUGCUAGAGAUGCUAUUUUGCCUGAUUAUGCUAUGCUUGAUACUGCUAGAGAUACUACUUUGCCUGAUAUGCCACUAGGGGUAUUCCUUGAUGCUCAUAUUGCUAGAGUUAUUGCCAAUGCUCGUGAUGCUUCUGAAACUCUCGAUACUAUUGAGAUAGAACCUGCUUUUGCUCCUGCUAGAUCUAGCUCUCCUAGAUAUGAAUUGCCUGAUAUACCUGAGGGUUAUGUUAUGGAGGGAGAGAUAGCUGAGGAUUUUCUUGCGUGUAAGGAUGGCUAUGACGCUGAGAAAUUACUUCUCAAGUGGAAGGAAAAAUCUCUGAAAGCUAGGAUGAAAUACAACCCGAAGUUUGCCACUUCACCUAUCUUUAUCACCGAUGAGGAUUAUGAAUUCUCUGUCGACCCUGAGAUAAUCUCUCUUGUCGAAUCUGAUCCUUUCCACGGUAAUGAGUUUGAGACGGUCGUAGCCCAUCUUACCAAACUACACGAUAUAGCCACCCUUUUCACUAGUGAGGAGAAGAUCCGCUACUACUAUAUCCUUAAGUUGUUUCCUUUCUCUCUAAAGGAUGACGCUAAAUCCUAGUUCACUUCUCUUGCUCCUGGAUGUGUGAGUAGUCCCCAGGAUAUGGUCUAUUACUUCUGUGAGAAAUAUUUCCCUGCCCAUAAGAAGCAAGCUGCCUUGCAGGAAAUAUACAACUUUGCUCAACUCAAAGAAGAGUGUCUCCCACAAGCUUGGGGGAGGCUCAUCCAGCUACAGAAUGCUUUGCCUGAUCACCCUCUUAAGAAGAACGAGAGACUUGAUAUCUUCUAUAACAGACUUACCGAUGCUUCUAGAGACCACCUAGAUAGUUGUGCCGGUUGUGUUUUUAGGGAACGAAUUGUAGAACAAGUUGAGAUCCUACUGAAUAACAUCUUGAUCAACAAUAAUGCUUGGACUAUUCCCGAACCACCUCCUAAGCCAUAUCCCAAGAAAAGAGGUAUUCUAUUCCUCAGUCCUGAAGAUAUGCAAGAAGCCAAGAAAUCUUUGCAAGAGAAAGGCAUUAGAUCUGAAGAAAUCAAAAAUCUACCGCCUAUCGAAGAGAUCCAUGCUCUCGAUAACCCGAUACAAGUAGUAGAGGUGAAUUCUCUGCGUAGAUUCAAUGAGAGUGAUAUUCCUUUUGAUAAACCUGCUAGCCUAUGCUUUGAUGAAUUUGACAACUUUGUUGCCAAACAACAAAGUUUCAAUGAUUAUGUUAGCAGACAAUUGGAACAACGUACUCACAUGCUUAGUCAUUUAAGUGCUUGUGUAGAGAGAAAUGUCAAUGAUCUGAAGCUUCUGAGUAAACAUGCCUCAAUGAUUACUACUCAGGUAGAACAAGUACUUAAAGCUCAGAAUGACGUGCUCAAUGAAUUAAUGACAACUCUGUCAGAGUCAUUACUAGAGGAGGCAAAAUGACUCAGGAACCCUUGUAUCCUGAAGGCCAUCCUAAGAGAAUUGAUCAACAUUCUCAAGGUAUUAAUGCUCAUACACCCAGUCAUCCUAAGAAUAAGAAGAAGGAUGAUAGAAACCUACAUGUCAGUUCACCAAAUACUGUAACACCUGAAGAACCAAAUGAUAUUUCUGCGUCUGAUGCAGAAACACAAUCUGGUGAUGAACAUGAACCUGGUGACAAUAUGGACAGCGAUGUUCAUAAUAAUGCUCAACCUAGCAAUGAUAAGGAUGUGGAGAUUGAACCUACGGUUAAUCCUGAUAACCCACAACCUAAGAGGUACGAUAAGAAUGACUUCACUGCUAGGAGGCAUGGUAAAGAAAGGGAGCCAUGGGUUCAGAGACCCAUGCCCUUUCCUCCUAAGCCAUCCAAGAAAAAGGAUGAUGAUGAUUUUGAGCGCUUUAUUGAAAUGUUGAGACCCGUCUUUCUGCGUAUGCGGUUAAUUGAUAUGCUCAAAAUGUCUCCAUAUGCCAAGUACAUGAAAUAUAUCGUGACCAAUAAACGGAAGAUACCAGAUCUUGAGAUCUCCACCAUGCUUGCCAAUUACACUUCCAAAGGUGGAACUCCUAAGAAACUUGGUGAUCCCGGAGUGCCCACUAUACCUUGCUCCAUUAAAGGAAACUACGUAAGAACUGCCUUAUGUGACCUUGGAGCCGGUGUUAGUGUUAUGCCUCUCUCUCUCUUUAUCGUAGACUUGAACUGGAUAAGUUGACACCCACUGAAAUUUCUCUGCAAAUGGCCGACAAAUCAACUGCUUUCCCUGUCAGCAUUUGCGAGGAUGUGCCUGUUGUGGUUGCUAACGUUGCUAUCUUAACGGACUUUGUUAUCCUGGAUAUUCCUGAGGAUGAUGCCAUGGCGAUCAUUCUUGGAAGACCAUUCUUAAACACUGCAAGGGCUGUUAUAGAUUGCAGCAAAGGCAAUGUCACCUUCCAUGUCAACGGUAAUGAGCAUACAGUGCACUUUCCAAAGAAACGAUAUCAAGUACAUUGCAUCAAUGCUAUCGAAAAAACAUCAUCGAUUCUUAUUGGGAGCUUUGAAUUCCCUAUUCCUCGUGUUAAGAUGAAGUAUGAUUUGCUUGUUGGGGAGAUUCAUGUCCCCAUUGAGGUGACUUAGUGGCUAUUCGACAAUUCUCUGUUUCCUUUUGCGAUUCGAAAAGGUUUUGUCGAGGGGAUUUGAUCAACCCCAUUGACGGAUUUCUUUCGAUGACCAUGAAAUGGAUGAAUCAAGGAGUCACAUACCUCUGUUUUAAGCUUUCACUUUCUGUUGUUUAGAAGGAAAAAUGAUAGAUUUAGUUUAGUUUUUCCUGUUUUCUGUUUUAGCGUCCCAGAGAAAAGUAUCCCGAAAAUAGAAGUUCUACGAUGGCCCUGAAAAUCAAAUAUGAUUUUUUCUGGUUUUUUUGAAAAAUACUGGGACUGAGAGCUGGCCUGGGAGCCACACCAGUGGGCCACAAGCCCUGUAGCCGCGGCCUCCCCUGGCCGCGGCUACCAAGCUUGUGGGGCCCACAGGGACCCCCUCCACUCAUUCUAGCUCCCAUCCUCUUCUUCUACCUCCAGAAAAAAUCGUUUUACAGCUCCAACCCGUGCUCUUGCUCAUUUGGCUGUGAUUUUCGAUCUCCUUGCUCAAAGCACCAUUCUACGAACCGUUUUGGGGAAAUUACUCCUUGGUAAGUGACUCCUCCAUUGGUCCAAUUAGUUACUCUAGUGCUUUAUCCUUCGCGUAUUCUUUCUACCUUGGUGACCCUGUUCUUGAACUUGAAAUGUUGAUUUUAGUUCGUCCCAAGUAGUUUUAACGCGUGAUACGGUCUCUAGGCACUAGUAGGAGUAGUUGCUACAAGGUUUGGUUGGUCUUUAUUCACUUUUCUCUUGAACUUCAAAAAUUUCAGCAAAAAUAAAUUAUGUUUAGGAGGAAGUUUCAUGGUGGUUCCUCAAGUAAGAAGGGUCCCCGUCUUUCUAUUAAGGAGCCCGAUCCUUAUGAACUAAGGGACGCACCGGUACAACCAUGUGAAUGGCCUUCCGAUGAGUUCAUGAUCGAAGCAGGCUUCAAGGAUGAGUUUGAUACACUUGUCCACAAUGCCGAGUUAGAAGAAUUCCUCUCAGAUAAAUGUGAACAGUAUGCUAUGCUCACUGCCUCUUUCAUGCGUAGAUUUAAAUUUUUAGUUGGCCGUGACUCAUCCAUACUGUUUGAUCUGUAUGAUAAAUCCUACACCAUGGAUUUGGAGGAUUUCAAUAGGAUUUGCAAGAUACCCGAUGGGGGUAGUCUUAAUGAUCCUGCUAAGUCUUCGGUUAGAUAUUUUUUUUCUCUAGUAUAACUGUUGGAGAAACUAGAGACAUCACGCAAGCUACCAUAGGAAGCAUUCAUUUCCCUGCCUUGCACUACUUUGCCCUCUUCAUAGGUAGAUGCAUUAACGGCAAGGUUGAACAUUGUCACCUAUGCGCAUCCGACCUUAGUAUCCUUAAGAGCGCAAUAACAGGUGACAGGAGCUUCAACAUGGGAGCUAUAAUAGCAAGGAGGCUGAAUAAUAAUGCCAUUGAUAUUAGUUUACCGUGAGACCUAUGUGUCACUUGCUUAUGUGGUUAACUUGUGAUCUUGCUGAAAUUCUGGUUAUGAGUUAGACAUAGUUGCAACAUCAAGAUCAAACAGAGUUUGUCAAAGUUUUUCGUUCUCUUUUAGUUUGUCAACUGAGUUGCUUGAGGACAAGCAAGGUUUUAAGCGUGGGGGAGUUGAUACGUCUCCAUCGUAUCUACUUUUCCAAACUCUUUUGCAAUUGUUUUGGACUCUAAUUUGCAUGAUUUGAAUGGAACUAACCCGGACUGACGCUGUUUUCAGCAGAAUUGCCAUGGUGUUGUUUUUGUGCAGAAAUGAAAGUUCUCGGAACGUCUUGAAAAUUUACGGAGAAUAUUUCUGGAAAAUAUGAAAAAUACCUGCGCAAAGAUCCACCGGAGGGGACGGGCUAGUGGGCCACAAGCCCUGUAGCCGCGGCCUCCCCCCUGGUCGCGGCUACCAGGCUUGUGGGGCCCACGUGGCUCUGCCGCCCCCAAUUCCAGCACUAUUUAUUCCCUUUCGUCCCGGAAAAAAUCAGGAGAGAAGAGUUCAUCGCGUUUCACGAUCCAGAGGCGCCGCCACAUCCCGUUCUUGCCCUGGAGGGUAGAUCUGGAGUCCGUUUUGGGCUCCGGAUCAAGGAGAUCGUCGCCAUCGUGAUCAUCAACCUUCUUCCCUCUCCAAUUCCAUGAAGCUCUUCAUUGUUCGUGAGUAAUCUAUUCGUAGGCUCGCUGGGCGGUGAUGAGUAGGAUGAGAUCUAACAUGUAAUCGAGUUAGUUUUGACGGGGAUUGAUCCCUAGUAUCCACUAUGUUCUGAGAUUGAUGUUGCUACUACUUGGCUAUGCUUAAUGCUUGUCACUAGGGCCCGAGUGCCAUGAAUUCAGAUCUGAACCUAUUAUGUUGUCACCAACAUAUAUAUGUGUUUUAGAUCCGAUCUUGCAAGUUGUAGUUACCUACUAUGUGUUAUGAUCCGGCAACCCUGGAGUGACAAUAACCGGAACCACUCCCGGUGAUGACCAUAGUUUGAGGAGUUCAUGUGUUCACCAAGUGCUAAUGCGUUGGUCCGGUUCUUUAUUAGAAGGAGAACCUUAAUAUCCCGUAGUAUCCAUUUGGACCCCGCUGCCACGGGAGGGAUGGGCAAUAGAUGUCAUACAAGUUCCUUUCCCUAAGCACGUAUGACUACACACAGAAUGCAUGCCUACAUCACAUUGACGAACGGGAGCUAGCCACAUAUCUCUCCGUGUUAUAACUGUUGCAUGAUGAAUGUCAUCCAACAAAUCACCGAUCCAUUGCCUACGAGUUUGUCCCACUGCUAUUGUUACUUGCUGCUGCUGUUACUUGCUUUGCUCUGCUGCUGUUACUACUAUUGCUGCUACUGUUACUUGCUUUGUCAUGCUGCUGCUGCCACUACUGUUGCUACUACUGUUACUUGUUGUUGCUGUUACUUGCUACUGUUGCUACUUGCUACUGCUGUCACUACUGCUGUUCCUUGCCACUGUUGUUACUCGUUACACUGCUGCUACCUGCUAGAAUACUUUUCUUGCGUCAUUGAUACUUCAGUUAGGAAUAAUCUGCCGUCAACAGAUUCUUUCCUAGCACUGUUGCUAUCAUACUACCUUUGCUGCUUAUAUCCUGCUUGCAGAUACUAAUCUUUCAGGUGUGGUUGAGCCGACAACUCAACUGCUAAUACUUGAGAAUAUCCUUUCACUCCCAUUGUGUCGAACCAACAAAUUUGGGUUGAAUACUCUACCCUCGAAAACUGCCGCGAUCCCACACGCUGGUGGGCCAUUGCAAGACAAUUGCUAAUUGUUGAGCAUCUGGAAGUAGGUACUAGCCAUGGAAAAGUGAGAAUACAGUAAUCUAACACCAAUAUAAAUAGAAAUCAAGUUUGCUACAGUACCUCAAGAGGUGGUAGUUUGUUUUCUUGUGCUAAUAAUAUCACGAGUUUCUGUUUAAGUUUUGUGUUGUGAAGUUUUCAAGUUUUGAGUGAUGUUCUCAUGGCCAAAGGGAUAAAGAGUGGAAAGAGCUCAAUCUUGGGGAUGCCCAAGGCACCCCAAGACAAAUUCAAGGACACCAAAAAGCCUAAGCUUGGGGAUGCCCCGGGAAGGCAUCCCCUCUUUCGUAUUCAAUCCAUCGGUAACAUUACUUCGAGCUAUAUUUUUAUUCACCACAUGGUAUGUGUUUUGCUUGGAGCGUCUUGUAUCGUAGGAGUCUUUUAUUUUUGUUGUGUCACAAUCAUCCUUGCUGCACACCUUUGGAGAGAGACAUGCACUCAUCCUGAUUUUGCUAGAAUACUCUUUGAGCUUCACUUAUAUCUUUUGAGUUAGGCAAUUUAGCUCACAUGCGCUUCACUUCGAUCUUUUAGAGCACGACAGUGUUAUAUUUUGGAGAAAUAAGGACUCUCGAUCUUCACUUAUAUCUUUUUGAGAGUGAUCUCUCUGAGUAACUUGGUAGUUGGCUUGUGCUAUGAAAGUAGUCCCAAAGGUGAUAGGAAUCCAAAGAGCAUACGAUGAAACUUCCAUCUUCUUGUUCAUUGAUUAGAAAGAGAAGUUUGAUUCCUCUCAAUUAGUUUUGAGAUAUGGAUUUGGUGAUACUAAGAGUUAUGUUAGUAGGGUGUUGUGAAUCUAGAAAUACUUGUGUUGAAGUUAGUGAUUAACGUAACAUGCACGUAUGGUGAACCGCUAUGUUAGGAAGUCAGAGCAUAAUUGAUCUAUUGAUUGUCAUCCUUUGUGUUGCGGUCGGGAUCGCGCGAUGGUUAACACCUACGAACCCUUCCCCUAGGAGUAUGCGUUUAGCACUUUGUUUUGAUUACUAAUAAAAACUUUCGCAAUAAGUAUGGGAGUUCUUCAUGACUAACGUGAGUCCAUGGUAUAGAUGCACUUUCACCUUCCACCAUUGCUAGCCUCUUUAGUGCCGCGCAACUUUCAUCGGUGCACAAACCCACCAUAUGCCUUCCUCAAAACAGCCACCAUAAGUACCUACUAUGGCAUCUUCAUAGCCAUUCCCAGAUAUAUUGCCAUGCAACUCCCACCGUUCCAUCUCAUGACUUGUGCCGUCACUUUCAUAUUGCCAUUGCAUGAUCGUAAGAUAGCUAGUGAGUCAUAUGCCAAGCUAGAUCGUUGCACAUCCCGGUACAUUGCCGGAGGCAUUUCCUAUAAGAGUCAUCAUUGUUCUAAGCAUUGAGCUUUUAGUAAAUUAAAGUGUGAUGAUCAUCAUUAUUAGAGCAGUGUCCCAUGUGAGUAAAUAAAAAAAAGGCCAAAGUGGCCCACAAAAAAAUAUAUAUGGAAAGAGGCCAAAGAGCCCCCAAAAAAGGAAGAGAGAAAAAGAGAGAAUGGACAAUGCUACUAUCUUUUUCCACACUUGUGCUUCAUAAUAGCACCAUGUUCUUCAUGAUUGAGAGUCUCUUGAUUUGUCACCACCAUAUGCUAGUGGGAAUUUUCGUUAUAUAACUUGGCUUAUAUAUUCCAAUGAUGGGAUUCCUCAAAAUUGCCCUAGGUCUUGACGAGCAAGCAAGUUGAAUGCACACCCACUAGUUCUUCUUUUGAGCUUUCACAUACUUAUAGCUCUAAGUGCAUCCAUUGCAUGGUAAUCCCUACUCUUUCACAUUGAUAUCUAUUAAUGGGCAUCUCCAUAGCCCUUUGAUACGCCGAGUCGAUGUGACCAUCUCCUCCUUUUUGUCUCACAACCUCCACCACACUCUAUUCCACCAUAGUGCUAUAUCCAUGGCUCAUGCUCAUGUAUUGCAUGAGAGUUGAAAAAGGUUUGAGAACGUAAGAGUGCGAAAACAAUUACUUCGCCAAUACCGGGGUUGUGCAUGAUUUAAAUUAGUUGUGUGGGGAUGAUGGAGCAUAGCCAGACUAUAUGAUUUUGUAGGGAUAACUUUCUUUGGCCUUGUUAUUUCGAAUGUUUAUGAUUACCUUGCUAGUUUUCUUGAAGUAUUAUUGUUUUCAUGUCAAUAGCAAGCUAUUAUUUGAAUCUUACGGAUCUGAACAUUCAUGUCACAUGAAAUAAGUUACAAAGGACAAAGAUGCUAGGUAGCAUUCCACAUCAAAAAUUCAGUCUUUAUCACUUCCCUACUCGAGGACGAGCUGGAGUUAAGCUUGGGGAUGCUUGAUACGUCUCCAACGUAUCUAUAAUUUUUGAUGGUUACAUGCUAUUAUCUUGUCAAACUUUGGAUGUUUUGUAUGCCUUUUAUAUCUUUUUUGGGACUAACUUAUUAACUCAGUGCCAAGUGCCAGUUCCUAUUUUUUUCGUGUUUUUGACCCUUUUCAGAGGAGAAUAUUAAACGGAAUCCAAAAGGAAUAAAACUUCCGAAAAGGUUUUUUCCGGAACAGAAAAUACGCAGGGGGCGUGAGAACCAAGGUAGAGGCCACCAGGGGAGGCCACAAGGCCCCUAGGCGCGGCCAGGGGGGCCUGACUCUGUGACAACAGACCUUCCCCUGCAACGGCACCAGAAGAAUGCUGCUAGCACUCCCCGGCAAUCGAAACUAGAAGAAUAUUGUUGACGGCCCACCAGCGCGUGGGAUCGAGGCAGUUUUCGAGGGUAGAGUAUUCGAACAAAAUUUGUUGAUACGCCAGUAGGAGGUGAGACGAUACUCUCAAGUAUUAGCAGUUGAAUGUGUCAGAUUCAACCAGACGUGAAAGAUUAGUAUCUGCAAGCAAAGUAUCAUCAGCAAAGUAGUAUGAUAACAACGGUGUCAGAAACGAUCUGUUGACGGCAGACUAUUCCUAACGAUUGUAUCAAUGGUGCCAGAAGUUGCCCGUUGACGGAAAUUGUCUGUUCCCGUCAACGCCGAGCGAACAAAAAUUGUAACAGGUAGCAGCAGUGAAACGAGUAACAGCAGUGGCAAGGAACAGCAGUAGUGACAGCAGUAGCAAGUAGCAACAGUAGCAAGUAGCAGCAGAGCAAGCGACAGUAGUAACAGCAGCAGUGGGACAAACUUGUAGGCAAUGGGUCCGUGAUUCGUUCGGAUGAUAUUCAUCAUGCAACAGUUAUAAGACGGAGAGAUAUGUGGCUAGCUCCCGUUCGUCAAUGUGAUGUAGGCAUGCAUUCCGUGUGUAGUCAUACGUGCUUAGGGAAAAGAACUUGCAUGACAUCUAUUGUCCAUCCCUCCCGUGGCAGCGGGGUCCAAAAGGAUACUACAGGAUGUUAAGGUUCUCCUUUUAAUAAAGAACCGGAACAACGCAUUAGCACUUGGUGAACACAUGAACUCCUCAAAGUAUGGUUAUCAUCAGGAGUGGUUCCGGUUANGCCGCAAGCUUCUGUCUCCGCAAGAUCCCAUCUGGGGCACAUUCUGGUGCCCUGUCGGAGGGGGGAUUCGGAUACGGAGGGCUUCUUCAUCAACACCAUUGACUCUCCGAUGAUGCGUGAGUAGUUCACCAUAAACCUUCGGGUCCAUAGCUAGUAGCUAGAUGGCUUCUUCUCUCUCUUGGAUCUUCAAUACAAAGUUCUCCAUGAUCUUCAUGGAGAUCUAUCCGAUGUAAUCUUCUUUUGCGGUGUGUUUUUCGAGAUCCGAUGAAUUGUGGAUUUAUGAUCAGAUUAUCUAUGAAUCUUAUUUGAGUUUCUUCUGAUCUCUUAUAUGCAUGAUUUCAUAUCCUUGUAAUUCUGUUCGAGUUGUGGGUUUUGUUUGGCGAACUUGAUCUAUGAUUGUUGCAAUGGGAUAAGUGCUUUGUUUUGGGUUCAUACCGUGCGGUGACCUCACCCAGUGACAAAAGGGGUAGCGAGGCACACAUCAUGUUGUUGGCAUCAAGGGUAAAAAGAUGGGGUUUAUACCUAUUGCAUGAACUUAUCCCUCUACAUCAUGUCAUCUUGCUUAAAGCGUUACUCUGUUUGUCAUGAACUCAAUACACUAGAUGCAUGCUGGAUAGCGGUCGAUGUGUGGAGUAAUAGUAGUAGAUGCAGAAAGAAUCGGUCUUCUUGUCUCGGACGUGAUGCCUAUAUGUAUGAUCAUUGCCUUAGAUAUAAUUUGCCCUUCCGACCCGCUGCAUGCCACCCUUGUCGAGCUGACUACUCCCAUCGCCCCAACGGCUAAUACAACGCUGACUAGGGCUGAGGUGGAAGAGGCUCGCAAACAACUACUAGUGGAGGGCACCGCCCUUGCCACCUCCAAGCGCUGGAUGAAGGCGGCACGGCGUGAGUACAACUCCGCUUAUGGCUUCACCCCAGCCGCUGACGGACCCAGCCGGCUCGGCGACCUCCGCUGUCGCGGUCGGGUUGUUGCCGAAAUCCUAGGCGGCCAGCUACCCAUCUAUGACACUCCUGCGGCAAACAUGCGGGCCGCCCAGGCGGCCCAUGAAGAGAUGGAUGCCCUGCAGGGCGAGGAGCGGGUGCGUUAAGAAAAGUGCGUCAAGGACCUCCUCACUGCCGCCAAGGAGCAACAGGAUCGCCUCGAUCCUGCCCGUGCUUUCUCCGUAUCUCCGGCCUUCGACAUCGAAGGUUAUGAUGUCCCCAACGACCGUCAGCAAGCUCAGCAUUCUUCCUCCCAUCGUAAAUCCGACCAGAAGGCCGAGGGAAGCCGUGAGUAGCAUUCCCAACGCCGGAGAGAGCAUCACGCAGUAUCUAGCCGGCUCGGCGAGCCGGCUGGAACUAGAGGAGGCUCAGUUCAUGAAGUUCCCCCGCCUGAGCGGUGGGAGAAGGCCAGCACACCCGUGCCCGCAAUCCGGCCUGAGCUCGCGGCUUGGAUCGGCCCUCGCGUCCUUCGCAGCAAGAGCGAUGCUCGCACACGCAUCGACCUUCUGGCGCAGUCGGCCCUCCUGGAGGAGGAGGGUCCCAUUGGUCCGACGUGCUUCGGUCCUCGGAUCCGAGGGGAGGCGUUCCCGUCCGGCUUCACCGUCCCCCGCGAUACUACGAAAUACAACGGCUCUGGCAAGCCGAAAGACUGGCUGAUCGACUACAUCACUGCAGUCGGCAUUUCUCGGGGCAACAAGCGUGUUGCCGUCUGCUACGUGACACUCAUGCUGACCGGCUCGACAAGAACUUGGCUUAACAGUCUGCCAGCUGGCAACAUCAACUCUUGGGUUGACUUUGAAGAUGCUUUCGUCCGCAACUUCACUCGCACCUACAAGCGCCCUGGCCACGCCCGUGAGCUGGCCAUGUGCGUUCAGAAGCCCGACAAACCCCUCUGUGACUACAUCAUGCACUCGACGGAGUUGCACAACUCCUGCGAAGGAGUGCAUGAAGUACAAGCCAUUCAAUACUUCACUAAAGACUGUCGAGACGACACCCUUCUCAAGCACAAACUCAUGUGCUGCGAACCUACCUCUUUGGCAGCACUCAUGGACAAGGCGGAUAAAUACACUACUGCCAACUCUGCCAUGAGGAUCAAGGUCAGCGCGACGGACAAACCCGACCAACCGCCGGCUACAACUAAGCCGGUGGCGACAACUGAGGCGGGCAAAACAACAAGCGCAAGGCGGAUCAGCAAGACCCGUGAGCUUGAAGCAAGCAGGUGGCAAACAUGGAGGAAGAGCAGCCGGCUGCGCAAGACGACGCUCAGCAACAACGAACCGGCAAGAACACCUGACAGCCCAAGCUCACAUUCGAGUAGAUGCUCGACGCGCCUUGCAAGAUGCAUUCCGGGGCAAAGCCAGCCACCCACACACUCCGGUAGUGCAGCUUCUCACAGCGCCUGGCCCGCUGGCGGCUCCCCCGGGGGUGGCUCCUCGAGGUCCGACUCCCGGGCCGGGUCCGGCUCCAGCUCAACCGCCCCCAAUGACGGCCGUCUUCAUGACCAAUUCCCCAAGAAGGACGGGCCUACAUCGUCUUUACCAGCGAGGGCGAUGACAAGCAUAGUGAGCGUCAGCGCCGACAUGAGGUGAAUGCAACGGUCCUCUCGGUUCCCCAAUACACGCAUUGGUCUAAAAAGCAAAUUACAUGGAGCCAGGCGGACCAUCCCGCGGUGAUGCCGAAUCCUGGCACAUACGCGCUCGUCCUCGUCCCCACCAUCGCCUCCAAGAGACUCACAUGUACGUUCUCGCAGGUGCUCGUCGACGGCGGUAGCAUCAUGAACAUCCUCUACCGUGACACCAUGCUCGAGCUCGGGCUGAAGGAGAAGGACCUACAACCGACCAGGACUGUCUUCCACGACAUUGUGUCGGGGCAGUCUUGCUCGCCUAUCGGCAAAAUCCAGGUGGACUUCCUCUUUCGCGACAAGUCGCACUUCCACCGCGAGCCGGUCUGGUUCAAGGAGGUGGACCUCAACAACCCGUACCAUGCGCUGCUAGGAAGGCCGGCGCUGGCCAAGUUCAUGGCUAUCCCCCAUUACACCUACCUCAAGAUGAAGAUGUCGGGUCCCAAGGGCAUUAUCACUGUUGCCGGCAACUCCAAGAAGUCAAUCGAGUGUGGGUGCAACAGCAGCCGGCUGGCCGAGGCACUGGUGAUUGCACAGGAGAAGAGGCAGCUCAACCGGCUCAUGGCUGAGGCUACCGAGCAGCCGCCCGUGCCAACUCCUCCGUCCCAAUCAGACGGCGAGGCCUCAUUCGAGCCGUCCAAGGGAACCGGGCAAGUGCCACUCGACCCAGCCAACCCCAAGUAGUGCGUGACCAUCGGCGCCAACCUUAGCCCCAAAUAGGAAGGUGAGCUCGUCGACUUCCUCAGUGAGAAUCGAGAUAUCUUUGCAUGGUCCCCCAAGGACAUGUCGGGAGUUCCAAGGAACUACGCCGAGCACAAGCUUCAUGUGCAACCUAAUGCAAAGCCGGUCAAACAACCUUUGUGCCGCUUUGCUGAGGGGAAGCGACACACAAUCGGAGAAGAGAUCGCUUGGCUACUUGCAACCGGCUUCAUCAUGGAAGUUUCCCACCCGGACUGACUGGCCAACCCAGUCCUGGUGCAGAAGAAAAACAAAACAUGGUGCAUGUGUAUCGACUACACAAGCCUGAAUAUGGCAUGUCUGAAGGAUCCCGUCGCCCUGCCACGGAUAGAUCAAGUGACUGACUCCACGGUCGGCUACGAUUUGUUGUCCUUUGUGGACGCUUAUUCCGGCUACCACCAGAUCAAGCUGGACCCGGCCGACCGGCUCAAGACCUCCUUCAUCACACCUUCUGGAGCCUACUGCUACACGAUGAUGACAUUUGGCCUAAAGACUAUAGGCGCCACCUUCCAGCGUUGCAUGCAAUAAUGCCUCCUGCCGCAAAUCGGCAGGAACAUACACGUCUGCAUCGACGAAAUCGUCGUCAAGACCAAGAAGUAUUUCAGUCUCCUUGACGAUUUGUCGGAGACCUUUGCCAACUUGCACGAGUACAAGAUCCAUGUCAAUCCAGAGAAGUGCGUAUUCGGAGUACCAACCGACAAGCUCCUGGGUUUCUUCGUGUCGGCUCGCGGCAUCGAAGCUAACCCCGAGAAGACCAGAACAAUCGAGUGCAUGGCCAAGCCGGCUCAACUCCUCGACGUCUAGAAGUUUGCCGGCUGCCUAGCAUCCCUCAGCCGGUUUGUUAGACGGCUGGGUGAGAAGGCACUACCACUCUAUCAGCUGAUGAAGAAGACAACCAAAUUCGAGUGGAAUGAUCAAGCGGACGAAGCAUUCCGCGACCUCAAGUGCGUGAUCUCCAGCACGCAAAUCUUGGCCACGCCGGCGGAGAGGGAACCCAUCCUCAUCUAAAAUGCGACAACCAUGCGCGUGGUCAGUGUCGUCUUGGUGGUGGAGCGAAAGGAGGAGGGCAAUGUGCUGCUGGUCAGCGCCCUGUCUACCAUCUAAGCGAAGUCUUGUCCGCCUCCAAGCAAAACUACCCCAUUUUCAAAAGAUGUGCUAUGGCGUGUAUUUUGCCACCAAGAAGCUGAAGCAAUACUUCCAGGAGCAUGCCAUCACGGUGGUGAGCACAACUCCACUUUCAGAAAUCAUGGGCAACUGUGAUGCUAUGGGCCAGAUUGCCAAGUGGUCCAUCUCCAUGGCCGACCAUGACAUCCGCUAUGAGCUGUGCACCGCCAUCAAGUCUCAAGUGGUGGCCGACUUCCUCGUCGAUUGGGCCGAGACCCAGUUCCUACCACCGCCUCCUGACUCCACACAUUGGCGGAUACAUUUCGACGACUCCAAGAUGCGAACCGGCCUGGGAGCCGGCAUUGUCCUGACGUCCCCGAAAGGGGCCAACUCAAAUAUGCUCUGUAGAUACACUUCGCCUCCUCCAACAACGUCACCGAGUACGAGGCACUUGCACACGCCCUCUGACUUGCUAGAGAGAUCGUCAUCCAGCGGAUUCUUUGCUUCAGCGACUCUGACCUCGUGGUGCAGCAAGUCUUUCGCGAGUGGGAUGCCAGGGACGCCAACAUGGCCAGCUACCGCUUCCCCAUCCAGCAGCUUAGUGGCCCUUUCGAGGGCUGCGAGUUCCAUCAUGUCCCCCGAGCAGACAAUGAGGCAGCAGAUACAUUGGCACAAAUGGGCUCCACAAGGCAAGCAAUCCCGACCGGCGUCUCCCUCGAACAGCUGCACAAGCCUUCCAUCAAGCCGUCUCGAGCGUCGUCAUCGAUCUUCGUGCCUGCAGACCCGUCCGUCCCAAUGACUUUAGGUACGAAGACGCUUCAUCAACUCCGCCGGCUCGGCCCGUUCUGCCAGCUCCGUCAGCUUUGCUGGCUCCGGUUACCUUGCCGACACCAACUACUCUGCCGGCUAUGCCAAACCUCGAACCCAGUCGGCUCAACACCCAGUGGGUGGCCGUCAUGGAGGUUGAUGGCAUGCCGGCUUCCACGACGACACCAGAGACAGAAGGUCUCGAACCCAGGACCACAAUGACAAACUCGGGGGCCUCAGCGGCCCCUGGCCUUCAGGCCGAGCCAGAAUCGGCUCGUGUGUCAGCUCCCACAUGGGCACACCCCAUCCUGUCUUUCCUCCUUUGCGGUGAGCUCCCUUAAGACAAGGUGGAAGCACGGCAAAUCCAGUGCCGAUCUCUCACUUACGCCAUCAUCAACCGUGAACUGGUUCGACACAGUGUAACAGGCGUACUUCAACGCUGCGUCGAAUCAGAGAAAUGAAAAUAAAUUCUCAAGGACAUACAUCAGGGUGAGUGCGGGCAUCACGCCGCCUCCAGAACCCUGGUGGCCAAGGCGUUCCGCCAUGGAUUCUAUUGGCUCACGACCCUGGAAGAGGCCACCACUCUGGUCGACAAGUGUGAAGGAUGCCAGUGCUUCAACACGCAAAGCCACUUGCCGGCCUCAGCUCUAAAGACCAUUCCCCUCUCAUGUCCCUUUGUCGUCUGGCGUUGGACAUGGUAGGCCCAUUCAAGACCGCUCGAGGCCGCAUGCCGCAUCUCCUGGUAGCCGUUGACAAGUUCACCAAGUGGAUUGAGGCCAGGCCAAUAAAGAAGCUUGACGGUCCCACGACCGUCAGGUUCAUCAAGGACAUCACCGUCCGCUAAGGUGUCCCCCACAGCAUCAUCACCGAUAAUGGCACCAACCUCGCCAAAGGUGCAAUGGCGCUCUUCUAUGCCAAGGAGGGCAUUCGGUUCGACCUUUCGUCGGUUGCCCACCCGCAGUCUAACGGCCAUGGGAAGGGCAAACAACCUGAUCUUGGCCGGCAUCAAGCCAAGACUCGUGGCACCGAUCGUCAGGUCAGCCGUCUGCUGGAUCAAAGAGUUGACGGCUGUGCUGUGGAGCCUCCACACCACACCGAACCGGUCAACUGAUUUCACGCCAUUCUUCCUCGUCUACGGGUCCGAGGCAAUCAUCCCCGCGGAUGUCGAGUUCGACUUGCCUCGCGUCACCCUGUACACGGAGGCAGAUGCAAAAGAGGAAAGAGAAGACGGUGUCAAUCUACUCGAGGAGGCACGGGAGCUGGCCCUGAGCUGGACGGCCAUCUACCAGCAGAAGAUGAGACACUACCACAUCAAAAAGAUCAGGCCUCUCUCUUCCCAUGAGGCGGACCUAGUACUUAGAAGAAUCUAGCAAACAGCCGGCCAACACAAGCUCUCUUCCCCAUGGGAGGGACCCUUGAUCAUCAGCAAGGUGCUGCACAACAAUGCGUACUAUCUAAUAGAUGCUCAGAAGCCGCAGAAGCGCAAAAGAGACGCCUCCGGCGAGGAAACGGAGCAUCCAUAGAACGCGGCACUGCUUCGCCCGUUCUAUUGCUAGAACAAGAGAGAAAAUGUGUACGUAUGUAUCCUUUACCCUUUUGGGGUCUCAACGAAUGCAAUGGGUGUCUCAAGAUAGCACUUGGGGCAUACCUAUUUGAUUUCAUAAAAAGAGUUGUCAUUAGAAGAGUGGGCUUCCCGAUCUGACUCCUCGGGCUCGGGGGCUCGCUAGCCGGCCCAAGCCAACUUCCUAGUCGUAGUUGAACAUAUAGUGCAUGUCGAGCCGAAACCCUUACCACCUUGUGCAAGCUAGAGACCGGCUCCGGACUGUCCGGCUAACAUGAUUGUGGAAUGGAAGGCUGGUUGCACGUAAAAUUUGACUACAAAGAGGUUGUCGGCUCAGGUUGGUCUGAUCGCUUCCGAUCUUCAUUUCUAGCUAGCCUGUGCUAACUCGCUCCAAGUCUAAGUAUCUCCGCGACUUCAAGAAAUUCGAGGAUGGCGCCUUCGUAGGCAGAAGCCCCAUCCUAGUCACAAACCGGCUCCCUGCUGUCGGAUUGGCGGGGUGGAUGCUGGAGGAGGCAAGCUGUUGGAUAGACGGAAGCCAAAGGGGAACGUAAGAUAAAAAAGCGAGUCGGCAAGCACAACCUUCGCAGGCACAAUUCAAGCAAACAAGCAUAUAUUAUAUCAAAAGACAUGUAAAGGCCGACGACCAAAGUUCAUUACAUUACACCCCAAGUGCGUGGAACUGUUGGAUUAACAAAAAAUGCAGAAAAGUAGAAAAAACUUUAUUUGGUGGUGGCUCCACCCUUGGCUCCGACAUCGCCGGCAGCACCGGAGGUCGAGGAGGCUCCACCCAUGGCUCCGACAUUGUUAGCAGCACCUGAGGUCGACGCGGCUCCACCCUUGGCAUUGGCAUCACCAGCGGCACCUGACGUGGAGGCGCCGUCGUCUGCUCGGGUGCCUUUGGCACUGCCCUUUGUGGCGGAGUCAACAUAGGCCUCGCCGCUCAAGUCGGCAUCCUCGAAUGCCGUCUCAUCGGAGCUGCCAUCAGGGUCGGCAAGCUAGCCCAUAAUGACCCUCCGGGAUCAGGCUUCUGUCAGCACUCCGCUCCAGGGAAUACUCAUUCCAUGGGCAAAGGAGGCAAUGCCGCUCGGCCGCACCUGCAGCUCGUCUUCGACGGCGGCUGACACGUGUCCAACGUAUCUAUAAUUUUUGAUGGUUACAUGCUAUUAUCUUGUCAAACUUUGGAUGUUUUGCAUGCCUUUUAUAACUUUUGGGACUAACUUAUUAAUUCAGUGCCAAGUGCCAGUUCCUGUUUUUUCCGUGUUUUUGACCCUUUUCAGAGAAGGAUUUUAAACGGUGUCCAAACGGAAUAAAAUUUUCGAAAAGAUUUUUUCCGGAACAGAAGAUACGCACGGGAUGUGAGAACCAAGGCAGAAGCCACCACGGGAUGCCACAAGCCCCCUAGGCGCGGCCGGGGGGGCCUAGCAGGCUUGUGGGCCCCCUGUGACUCGUCUGCACUACCUCUUCUGCCUAUAAAUUCCUGAAAAAUCCAAAACUGCGGGAGAGAUCCACGAAAAUACUUUUCCGCUGCCGCAAGCUUCUGUCUCCGCAAGAUCCCAUCUGGGGCACGUUCUGGUGCCCUGCCGGAGGGGGGAUUGGAUACGGAGGGCUUCUUCAUCAACACCAUGACCUCUCCGAUGAUGCAUGGGUAGUUUACCAUAGACCUUCGGGUCCAUAGCUAGUAGCUAGAUGCCUUCUUCUCUCUCUUGGAUCUUCAAUACAAAGUUCUCCAUGAUCUUCAUGGAUAUCUAUCCGAUGUAAUCUUCUUUUGCGGUGUAUUUGUCGAGAUCCGAUGAAUUGUGGAUUUAUGAUCAGAUUAUCUAUGAAUCUUAUUUAAAUUUCUUCUGAUCUUUUAUAUGCAUGAUUUCAUAUCCUUGUAAUUCUCUUCGAGUUGUGGGUUUUCUUUGGCCAACUUGAUCUAUGAUUCUUGCAAUGGGAGAAGUGCUUGGUUUUGGGUUCAUACCGUGCGGUGACCUCACCCAGUGACAGAAGGGGUAGUGAGGCACGCAUCAUGUUGUUGCCAUCAAGGGUAAAAAGAUGGGGUUUACAUCAUUGGUUUGAGUUUAUCCCUCUACAUCAUGUCAUCUUGCUUAAGGCGUUACUCUGUUCGUCAUGAACUCAAUACACUAGAUGCAUGCUUGAUAGCAGGGGAUGUGUGGAGUAAUAGUAGUAGAUGCAGACAGUAUCGGUCUACUUGUCUUGGACGUGAUGCCUAUAUGUAUAAUCAUUGCCUUAGAUAUCGUCAUGACUUUGCGCGGUUCUAUCAAUUGCUCGACAGUAAUUUGUUCACCCACCGUAAUAUUUGCUACUUUGGGAGAAGCCUCUAGUGAACACUAUGGCCCCCGGGUCUACUUCACAUCAUAUUUUCAGCCUUUAACUUUUACUUCGUUGUACUUUCCACCUUCAGAUCUCACUUUGCAAUCAAUCUUGAAGGGAUUGACAACCCCUUUAUAGCGUUGGGUGCAAGCUCGUUUGUAUUUGCGCAGGUACUCUGUACACUUGGAUUGAUUCUCCUACUGGAUUGAUACCUUGGUUCUCAAACUGAGGGAAAUACUUACUUCUCCUGUGCUGCAUCACCCUUUCCUCUUCAAGGGAAAACCAACGCAAGCUCAAGAGGCAACAGAAGGAUUUCUGGCGCCGUUGCCGGGGACUUCUGGCCCCGUAGCAGAAGGAUUUCUCGCGCCGUUGCCGGGGAGGAUCAAGUUCUAGGUGAAGCUUAUCCAAGUAAGUGUCGAAAACUCAUCUCUUGCAUUUACUUUUUUGCCUUUCGUUUUCCUCUCCCCCAGUUUUGAAAAACAAAAAAUUACAAAAAUAUUUGCCUUCUUCGUUUGCCUUUUUCGUUCGCCCUUUUAUCUCGCUUGCUUUCUGUUCGCUUGUGUGCUUGUUUGCUUGUCGAAGUCACCAUGACUAAAAACACCAAACUCUAUGACUUCUCGAAUACUAAUAAUAAUGAUUUUAUUAGUACUCCGAUUGCUCCCGCCACUAGUGCGGAAUCAUACGAAAUCAAUGUUGCCUUGCUGAAUCUUGUUAUGAAAGAGCAAUUCUCCGACCUUCCUAGUGAAGAUGCCGCAUCCCAUCUUAAUAUCUUCAUUGAGCUUUGCGAUAUGCAGAAUAAGAAAGAUGUGGAUAAUGAUGUGAUUAAAUUGAAGCUUUUUCCUUUCUCGUUGCGAGAUCGAGCAAAAACUUGGUUUUCAUCUUUGCCCAAAAAUAGUAUUGAUUCUUGGAACAAGUGCAAAGAUGAUUAUAUAUCCAAGUAUUUUCCGUCGGCUAAGAUUAUCUCUCUCCGUAAUGAUAUCUUGAAUUUUAAGCAACUUGAUCAUGAACAUGUUCCACAAUCUUGGGAGAGAAUGAAAUUGAUGAUUAGAAAAUGUCCCGCUCAUGGCUUGAGUCUUUGGAUGAUUAUACAAAUCUUCUACGCUGGUUUGAAUUUCGCUUCUAGAAAUAUCUUGGACUCCGCCUCAGGUGGAACAUUCAAGGAAAUCACAUUAGGAGAAGCCACGAAACUCCUAGACAAUAUCAUGAUAAACUACUCUCAGUGGCACACUGAAAGGUCACCUACUAGUAAAAAAGUACACGCUAUAGAAGAAAUUAACUCGUUGAGUGCUAAGAUGGAUGAUUUAAUGAAUUUUGUUGCUAGUAGAAGUGCUCCUUUAGAUCCUAAUGAUAUGCCCUUGUAUUCCUUGAUUGAGAGUAGCAAUGCGAGCUUGGACGUUAAUUUUGUUGGUAGGAAUAAUUUUGGCAACAACAAUGCUUUUAGAGGAAACUAUGUUCCUACGCCUUUUCCUAGGAACCCCUCUAAUAACUUUGGCAACUCCUACAACAAUACUCAUGGAAAUUACGAUAAAUUACCCUCUGAUCUAGAUAGUAAUAUCAAAAAGUUUAUCAACUCGCAAAAGAUUUUCAAUGCGUCCAUAGAGGAAAAACUACUCAAAAUUGACGAUUUGGCUAGGAGCGUUGAUAGAAUGUCUAGUGAUACUGAUGCUUUGAAAGUUAGAUGUGCUCCUCCCAAGAUCAACAUGGAUGAAACUUUGAAACCCAUGCGUGUUUCCAUGAGUGAGAGCAAAGAAAGAACCGCCCAAAUUCGUGCUAGACAUGAAUGGCUUAAAAAGGCGUGUUCUCGUGAUAAGAAUCACGAAGAUCUUAAAGUGCUUGGUGUGACUCCCAUUGAAUCUUUGUUCUCUCGUGUCAAACCUAAUGAUGAUGGGGCUGGAUAUGAAUCUACUUUGGUUGAAAAACGCCUCAAUGAUUCGGAGUCCAUCUAUCUUGAUGCUAAAAGCAUUGAAAGUGGAGUAGAAGAAAUCAAAACUUUGAGUAGUAAUGAAAGUACUACUUUGGAUUUCAAGGAAUUCAAUUAUGAUAGUUUCUCCUUGAUUGAAUGCAUUUCCUUGAUGCAAUCCAUGCUAAACUCUCCACACGCUUAUAGCCAAAACAAGGCCUUUACCGAUCAUAUCGUUGAAGCUAUGAUAAAAUCUCUUGAAGAGAAACUUGAGUUGGAAGUUUCUAUUCCUAGAAAGCUUCAUGAUGAGUGGGAACCUACUAUCAAAAUCAAAAUCAAAAACUAUGAAUGCAAUGCUUUGUGUGAUUUGGGUGCUAGUGUUUCCGCGAUUCCAAAGUCUUUAUGUUAUGUUCUAGGCUUUAAUGAGAUUGAGGAGUGUUCUCUUAAUUUGCAUCUUACGGAUUCUACUGUCAAGAAACCCAUGGGAAGGAUCAAUGAUGUUCUUAUUAUUGCAAAUAGGAACUAUGUACCCAUGCAUUUCAUUGUGCUUGAUAUUGAUUGCAAUCCUACAUGUCCUAUCAUUCUUGGUAGACCUUUCCUAAGGACUAUUGGUGCUAUCAUCGAUAUGAAGGAAGGGAAUAUUUGAUUUCAAUUUCCUUUAAAUAAGGGCAUGGAGCAUUUUCCUAGAAAGAAAAUAAGAUUGCCUUAUUAAUCAAUGAUGAGGGCUACUUAUGGUUUGAGCACCAAAGACGACGAUACGUGAUUCUAUCGCCUUAUGCCUAGCUAAGGGCGUUAAAAAAUAGCGCUUGUUGGGAGGCAACCAAAUGAAUUUAUUUUUUUCUUUCUGUUUUAUUGCGUCCACACUAUCAUAAUUCUGUUAUGAUAGUUUUUUGUGUUUCUUUUUGUGUUUGAGCCAAGCAAAACCUUUAUGAUUGGUUUGGUGAUGGUUGUUUGAUCCUGCUGGAAAAAGACAGAAACUUUUCGCUCACGAAAUUAUUUUUCGUUUUUAUUCCGAAAGAGAUUUUGAUUUGAUUCCUUUUGCUGCUGGUUUAUAUGCCUUUUUCCCAGGCUGUCGUAAUGUUUCAUAAUUUUUGAGGCACCAGAAGUAUACGAAGUAUAAAGAUUUCUACAGACUGGUCUGUUUUUGACAGAUUUUGUUUUUGUUGUGUUGGUUGCUUGUUUUGAUGAAACUAUGGAUAGUAUCGGGGGUACUAGCCAUGGAAAAGUGAGAAUACAGUAAUCUAACACCAAUAUAAAUAGAAAUCAAGAUUGCUACAGUACCUAAAGUGGUGGUAGUUUGUUUUCUUGUGCUAAUGAUAUCACGAGUUUCUGUUUAAGUUUUGUGUUGUGAAGUUCUCAAGUUUUGGGUGAUGUUCUCAUGGACAAAGGGAUAAAGAGUGGAAAGAGAUCAAGCUUGGGGAUGCCCAAGGCAUCCCAAUCUAAAUUCAAGGACACCAAAAAUCCUAAGCUUGGGUAUGCCCCGGGAAGACAUCCCCUCUUUCGUCUUCAAUCCAUCGGUAACAUUACUUGGAGCUAUAUUUUUAUUCAGCACAUGAUAUGUGUUUUGUUUGGAGCGUCUUGUAUCGUAGGAGUCUUUUCUUUUUGUUGUGUCACAAUCAUCCUUGCUGCACACCUUUUGAGAGAGACAUGCACUCAUCGUGAAUUUGCUAGAAUACUCAUUGUGCUUCACUUAUAUCUUUUGAGCUAGACAAUGUUGCUGUGUGCUUCACUUAGAUCUUUUAGAGCACCGCUGUGCGUAACUUGGUAGUUGGCUUGUGCUAUGAAUGUAGUCCCAAAGGUGAUAGGUAGCCAAAGAGGAGACAAUAACACUUCCAUCUUCAUGUGUGUUGAGUAGAAAGAGAAGUUUGAUUCCUCUCAAUUAGUUUUGAGACGUGGAUUUGGUAAUAUUAAGAGUUAUGUUAGUAGGGUGUUGUGAAUCUAGAAAUACUUGUGUUAAAGUUAGUGAUUCCCGUAACAUGCACAUAUGGUGAACCACUAUGUUAGGAAGUCGGAGCAUAAUUGAUCUAUUGAUUUCCAUUCUUUGUGUUGCCGUCGGGAUCGCGCGAUGGUUAACACCUACUAACCCUUCCUCUAGGAGUAUGCGUUUAGCACUUUGUUUCGAUUACUAAUAAAAACUUUUGCAACAAGUAUGUGAGUUCUUCAUGACUAAUGUGAGUCCAUGGUAUAGAUGCACUUUCACCUUCCACCAUUGCUAGCCUCUCUAGUACCGCGCAGUUUUCGCUGGUGCACAAACCCACCAUAUGCCUUCCUCAAAACAGCCACCAUACCUACCUACUAUGGCAUUUUCAUUGCCAUUCCGAGAUAUAUUGCCAUGCAACUCCCACCGUUCCGUCUCAUGACUUGUGCCGUCACUCUCAUAUUGCCAUUGCAUGAUCAUAAGACAGCUAGCGAGAUGUUUCAACGUCAUACGCCAAGCUAGAUCGUUGAACAUCCCGGUACACUGCCGGAGGCAUUUCCUAUAGAGUCAUCAUCGUUCUAAGCUUUGAGCUGUGAGUAAAUAAAAGUGUGAUGAUCAUCAUUAUUAGAGCAUUGUCCCAUGUGAGGAAAUAAAAAAAUAGAGGCCAAAGUUGCCCACAAAAAAAGAGAUAUGGAAAGAGGCCGAAGAACCCAAACAAAAAAAAGAAAAAGAAAAAAAGAGAGAAAAUUAGAGAAGGGACAAUGCUACUAUCUUUUUCCACACUUGUGCUUCAUAAUAGCACCAUGUUCUUCAUGAUUGAGAGCCUCCUCGUUUUGUCACCACCAUAUACUAGUGGGAAUCUUUAUUAUAUAACUUGGCUUGUAUAUUCCAAUGAUGGGCUUCCUCAAAAUUGCCCUAGGUCUUCGUGAGCAAGCAAGUUGGAUGCACACCCACUAGUUCUCCUUUUGAGCUUUAACAUACUUAUAGCUCUAAGUGCAUCCAUUGCAUGGUAAUCCCUACUCUUUCACAUUGAUAUCUAUUAAUGGGCAUCUCCAUAGCCCUUUGAUACGCCGAGUCGAUGUGACCAUCUCCUCCUUUUUGUCUCACAACCUCCACCACACUCUAUUCCACCAUAGUGCUAUAUCCAUGGCUCAUGCUCAUGUAUUGCAUGAGAGUUGAAAAAGGUUUGAGAACGUAAGAGUGCGAAAACAAUUACUUCGCCAAUACCGGGGUUGUGCAUGAUUUAAAUUAGUUGUGUGGGGAUGAUGGAGCAUAGCCAGACUAUAUGAUUUUGUAGGGAUAACUUUCUUUGGCCUUGUUAUUUCGAAAGUUCAUGAUUACCUUGCUAGUUUACUUGAAGUAUUAUUGUUUUCAUGUCAAUAGCAAAUUAUUGUUUUUAAUCUUAUGUAUAGGAACAUUCAUGUCACAUGAAAGAAGUUACAAAGGACAACUAUGCUAGGUAGCAUUCCACAUCAAAAAUUAAGUCUCUAUCACUUCCCUACUCGAGGACGAGCGGGAGUUAAGCUUGGGAUGCUUGAUACGUCUGUAACGUAUCUAUACUUUUUGAUGGUUCCAUGCUAUUAUCUUGUCAAUCUUUGGAUGUUUUGUAUGCCUUUUAUAUCUUUUUUGGGACUAACUUAUUAACUCAGUGCCAAGUGCCAGUUUCUGUUUUUUUCGUGUUUUUGACCCUUUUCAGAGGAGAAUUUUAAACGGUGUCCAAACGGAAUAAAACUUCUGAUUUUUUUUCCGGAACAGAAGAUACGCACGGGACGUGAGAACCAAGGCAGAAGCCACCAGGGGACGCCACAAGCCCCCUAGGCGCGGCCAGGGGGGCCCGCGCCUAGCAGGCUUGUGGGCCCCGUGUGGCUCGUCCGCCCUACCUCUUCCGCCUAUAAAUUCCUGAAAAAUCCAAAACCGCGGGAGAGAUCCUUGAAAAUACUUUUCCGCCGCCACAAACUUCUGUCUCCGCAAGAUCCCAUCUAGGGAACGUUCUGGUGCCCUGCCGGAGGGGGGAUUCGGAUACGGAGGGCUUCUUAAUCAACACCAUGACCUCUCCGAUGAUGCAUGAGUAGUUUACCAUAGACCUUCGGGUCCAUAGCUAGUAGCUAGAUGGCUUAUUCUCUCUCUUGGAUCUUCAAUACAAAGUUCUCCAUGAUCUUCAUGGAGAUCUAUCCGAUGUAAUCUUAUUUUGUUGUGUGUUUGUCGAGAUCCGAUGAAUUGUGGAUUUAUGAUCAGUUUAUCUAUGAAUCUUAUUUGAGUUUCUUCUCAUCUCUUAUAUGCAUGAUUUCAUAUCCUUGUAAUUCUCUUCGAGUGAUGGGUUUUGUUUGGCCAACUUGAGCUAUGAUUCUUGCAAUGGGAUAAGUGCUUGGUUUUGGGUCCAUACCGUGCGGUGACCUCACCCAGUGACAGAAGGAGUAGCGAGGAACGCAUCGUGUUGUUGCCAUCAAGGGUAAUAAGAUGGGGUUUACAUCAUUGGUUUGAGUUUAUCCCUCUACAUCAUGUUAUCUUGCUUAAGGUGUUACUCUGUUUGUCAUGAACUCAAUACAAUAGAUGCAUGCUGGAUAGCGGUCGAUGUGUGGAGUAAUAGUAGUAGAUGCAGACAGUAUCGGUCUACUUGUCUCGGACGUGAUGCCUAUAUGUAUGAUCAUUGUCUUAGAUAUCGUCAUGACUUUGCGCGGUUCUAUCAAUUGCUCGACAGUAAUUUGUUCACCCACCGUAAUAUUUGCUACUUUGAGAGAAGCCUCUAGUGAACACUAUGGCCCCCGGGUCUACUUCACAUCAUAUUUUCAGCCUUUCACUUUUACUUCGUUGCACUUUCCGCCUUCAGUUCUCACUUUGCAAUCAAUCUUGAAGGGAUUGAUAACCCCUUUAUAGCGUUGGGUGCAAGCUCGUUUGUGUUUGCGCAGGUACUCUGGACACUUGGCUUGAUUAUCCUACUGGAUUGAUACCUUGGUUCUCAAACCGAGGGAAAUACUUACUGCUCGUGUGCUGUAUCACCCUUUCCUCUUCAAGGGGAAACCAAUGCAAGCUCAAGAUGCAGCAGAAGGAUUUCUGGCGCCGUUGCCGGGGACUUAUGGCGCCGUAGCAGCGGCCAACUCCAGUUCCAUGCUGGCGCGCUGCGCCGCGAGCAUGCCCAAGUUUAGGUUGCGAUACCAGGACUUGGCAAGGCGAAGCACCAUAUAUGCCCCAGCUUGUGCAGCUGACGCACACGAGGCGUCCAGCUGGGAAGUUCCUACCUCGAGCCAUCAGGACAGCCGGCUCAUUGACGCUGGCUCCACCGUGUCCGGCCAAAGGGCAUUCACCAUCGCCAACCCGGACUCCUGGAGCGAGGUCAGGGACUGCAACAGCUCCCACAUAUGGGCCCUGGCGGCAAGGGCCACCUCCUCCGCGGUCUAGCCGGCACUAAUAUUCACCAUGGCGCCGGCGGCACGUCGUUCUUUGCGAUGAGCCUCUACAGCCGUGUCCACCGCAUCUCAAUUCCCUAGAAAGAGAUGGUGGGGGGCAAUGGCGGGGUCAUGGCGUAAAGAAGGAGAAAAAAGAAUUCAACAAUAAAAAGACAAGAUGAGGCAGGGACGACUCACGGUUGAGAAGGAUGUCGACUUCGCCCGCCUCCUCCUCAACCUCGCGGUCCUGGACCGCACACUCCUAAGCCUGGCGAGCGAGCUUGUUCCCCAGGGCCUGUGUCGCCUUAACUUCCUUCGCCAGUUGAGCUUUCAUGUCCUUCAUGGCGGCGUCCUGCUGCGCCUUUUCGUCAAGGCGCAGCUUCUCCAAACGUUCAAGCUCGAUGGCUUGGGAGGCAUCCUUCCGCAACAUGUUGUCGUUGUGUCCGACGCGCAGCCGCUCCAGCUCCGUUUGAUGGGCCGCCUCGUGGUCCUUCUUCUCCAUCUGGAGAAGCUCUACUUCCUGACGUAGCCGGCCGCCCUCACCGCGCAAGGCGUCGCGCUCCGUGACGGCUCGGUCGAGCCGGCCUUGAAGGUCGCCUGUUUGUUCUAUGUAAUGAUCAUUGGCAUGAAUAAACAUUGCAUAACUAUGCGCUUUUAUACCAAUUUACCAACAAUAAUUUGUUUACCACCGUAUGCUUUUCUACCAAUUUAACAACAGUAAUAUGUUCACCCACCGUAUGUUUCCUACGGGAGACAAGCCUCUAGCGAAAACUAUCGCCCCGGGGUCUAUUCACAAAUAUAUUUACAAAAAUACUAAAUACUUCUUUGAAUUUUAUUAUUUGUAUUUAUUUUUUAUAUUUAAUAUAUUUUAGCUAUCUAUAUAUCACUACUUACCGUUUGCAAGUAACUAGUUCAAGGCGAUUGACAACCCUCUUGCUCGCGUUGGGUGCAAUUGUUUGCUAUUUUGUGUGUAGGCGCUGAACACAGGAAAAUGUGUCGUUCUUCUAUUGGUUUAAUAACCUUGGUUCUCACUGAGGAAAUACUUAUCUAUUCUCUGCUUCAUCAACUCCUCUUUGGGGAUAAAUCCAACGCAGAUCACAAUUAUCACGCGUGCGUUCCCACCCAACAUCGGCGGCCCACAUUCAUACCGAUGUAGAGCGGUCGCUCCGCAUUGAAGCCAUCCCGGAGCGGAUGUGGCAUCUCACUAGCACCGACGUUGAAGCGGUGCAUCGACCGACAGUGCCGCCCAUUGCACACCCGUGUGAGCAUGCCUCUUCGCUGCACUCAAACGCCUCUAUUAAACCCGCAUGUGUGCCAAGAAACCUAUUAUAGUAACAUGUCCAUUUGCGAGAUAGUCGGCCUUAAACACAACACCGGGAAAGCUCCCUGCGCCCGCCUGCUAUAUAAAGGAGGCCAGACGCUGGUAAAGGAUCGCACCACUCCUCCACUCCACAUCUCCCCCUUCCACCAUUUUCCCCCCCUUUCCAUGGCAUCCGACGAGUAGGAAGAGCAGUUGUCCAGUAUAAAAGUUGGUUGGGUGGCUCGCUGAGCCCUCUAGAUACGAACUAGGCAACUUGCUGCUCCUCCUCCCUCGCCGAGCUCGACAAAGAAAGUGGCCGCACCAAGCCGGCGCCUAGUUCAACAACUCUCUAUUCCAAGCCAGCUCACAGAGGAGUAGAGAGUUGCUCCAGACCGGCAUGGUGGAACUGACAUCAUGGCUGCCAUGGACGAGGCCAGGCGCCAAGCCAUCCAGCGUCGACUUUCGCGGAACCGCGUCGUGCUUGUGGACAAAGAAACUAGCUUGGAGAUUGACAAGGCUGCGGGGUUCGUGGGAGUUACCCGCAACUCUCAUACCAGUCGUGCAUGGCAAAAUUUUAGUCAUCGACUUGACUCAUUCCCGUAACCCACGGUGCCGCGCGGCGCAACGCGGCGCGGCGUGGCGAGGAGAGGCGGGCGACGGAGGAGCGCGCGUGUAUGUCUCUCUUGUUCUCAUGCUCAUACAUGUGUGAAACAUCAUCCCUUAUAAGGAGGUCCAACUCCUACCAAACUAGCAACGUGGGACUAAACUUUAGUUCCACCUCUUUCCUUGCACGAAUGGGAUAAGUGGGCCUCUAGGAUUUAUUGGAAAUUCUGAAGAAGAUCAUUGGGCUAGCCCAAAAUUAUUAAAUUCCAGCAAUCCCCCACCAGAUCCUAGAGGCACAAAAAAAUUGCCUUUGGUUCCAAAACACUGUUUAUAUACCGGUACUGCACAGGAGACUAUUAAGUUUAACUUCCACCUAGAACUAUAUGUUAUACUAGUAAGCAACUUGAAUAGUGGACUAUGCCUUGAACUGCAAGUUUUCUGUGAAUCUAGUUUCACAUAGAGCCUUGACUGAUACUAGGCUACCGUUGGUGGAGCUUAUGCGUCAUACUCCGAGGACUUUCAUAAGUUUACUAGAGAGCACCCUACUCUCAUAGAUUGCGAUGUUAACAAUCAGACUCAUGUAGGUGUGUUCUUCAAAAGAGUUCUGUAGGACAACAUCUCUGCUUCAACAAGACAUUUAGAACAUAUAAAGAUAUAUAUCAACCUUCCAUGCAUAUUAGGAAAGUAUUGCAUCUUCAUGGAGUGGUAUUAUCAAUGGUAAGGAUACUUUCCUCUCACUUGACCAACAACUUGUCUUCCACAUCUAAUUCACGGGAUCUCCGGUCACAUUGAAUAGUUUAGCACCGUGAACAACUCAUAUUGUGGGUCUCAUACCCAUCCCCUUCGAUGCAUUAUAUAUCACAUUACAAGAUAGACCCUUAGUAAAAGGAUAUGCCAAAUUUUUAGAUGUUUGGAUAUAAUCCAAUGAAAUAACUCCGGAGUUUCUCAUUUUCCUCACAGAGUUUAACCUUCACUGAACAUGUCUUGAUGACUUCAUGUUAUCCUAUGAACUACUCACUUUUGCACUUACAGUUUGAUUGUUGUGGUUCAUAAGAACACCUGGUGCAGGUUUCUCAACAAACUAUAAGUCAUUCAAGAGCCGACGAAGCCAAUCUUCUUCGCCAUAGCUGUAUCUAGUGUUGUGAGUUCUGCUUCCAUUGUUGACCUCGUUAAGAUUGUUUGCUUGCAAGACUUCCAAGAAACAGCGCCACCACCAUGAGUAAAUACAUAUCCGCUCGUGGCCUUUAUCUCAUCAGCAUGAGAGAUCCAGUUUGAGUCACUAUACCCUUCAAGUACCUUUGGGUACCGAGUGUAUUGAAUUCCAUAACUCGUAGUGCCCUUCAAAUAGCGCAUAACUCUUUCUAGAGCUUUCCAAUGAUCAUCUCCUGGUUUUGAGACAAACCGGCUCAGCUUGCUAGCAGCAAAAGAGAUGUCACGUCUCGUAGCGCUUGCUAAAUACAUGAGCGAGCCAAUUAUUUGGGAUUAUUUCAAUUGAUCUCUAGCAAUUAUUCGAUUCUUUCGAAGCAACACGCUAGCAUCAUAAGGUGUUGGAGAAGGCUUGCAGUUAGUAUAACCAAAGUGACUCAAGAGAUUUUCCACAUAGUGAGAAUGAAGCAAAGUAAUCGCACCGUCAUCACUUCUCAGCAGCUUGAUAUUCAGAAUAACAUUAGCUAAUCCUAAAUCCUUUAUCUCGAAACAACGAGAUAGGAAAUCCUUGACUUCCUUAAUAACAUUCAUAUUUGUUCCGAAAAUCAAUAUGUCUUCAACAUAUAAGCAGAGGAUAACUCCCUCGCCCCCACCAUGGCGAUAGUACACACAUUUGUCAGCUUCGUUUACAACAAAGCCUACACCUAUUAAAGUUCUUUCAAACUUCUCAUGCCACUUCUUAGGUGCUUGCUUAAGUCCAUACAAUGACUUCAAAAAUUUGCACACUUUUCCCUCAUGACCGUCCAUUAUAAAUCCAUAUGGUUGUUCCAUAUAAAUUUCCUCGUCCAACUCUCCAUUUAGGGAAGCAGUCUUAACUUCCAUUUGGUGGACGAGAAUACCAUGUGAAGCUCCUAGUGAAAGAAGUACUAGAAUAGUGGUCAGUCGAGCCAUAGGUGAGUAAGUGUCAAAGAAGUCUUCACCUUCCUUUUGGGUAUAACCUUUGGCCACGAGUCAUGCCUUGUACUUCUCAAUAGUACUAUCAGGCCUAAGAUUCUUCUUGAAUACCCAUUUGCAGCCUAUAGGUUUGCACACAUAGGGACAAUCAGUUAUCUCACAAGUUUCAUUUGCGAGGAUGGAAUCCAUCUCACUACAAACCGCUUCCUUCUAGUAGUCAGCAUCUUCAGAUACAUAAGCCUCUGAAAUAGAACUGGGAGUGUCUUUUAUGAGAUAUACAAGAAAAUCAUCACCAAAGGACUUUGUAGUCCUUUGACUCUUGCUCCUUUUAGGAUUCUCCUUGUUGUUCUCCACAGGAUCUUCAAGAUGUUGUGUUGCAAUAGUCGGUUCAGAAGGUGCACCUACAUCUUGACUCGAUAAGCUAGGCAUCUCCUGAUUUGAUGCGCUAGCCAUAUCCUUAAUGGGAAAUAUAUCUUCAAAGAAGGUCACAUCAUUCCACUCCAUGAUUGUGCCAACAUGCAUGUCAGAUACCUCAUAUUUUAUAAUCAAGAAUCUACAACCAAUGCUAUGAAAAUAUACCCCAGGAAAACAUAAUCCACAGUUUUUGGCCCAAGCUUUCGCUUCUUUGGAAUUGGUAUAUUGACUUUUGCCAAGCAGCCCGAAGUUCAUAGGUAAGAGAGUUUUAACCUUUUCUUCUCCCAUUCCUCAAAUGGAGUUAUCUCUUUGUUCUUUGUGGGAACUCGGUUUAGGACAUGACAUGCAGUCAAAAUCGCAUCCCCCACCAUGCCUUGGAGAGACCUGAUAUGACUAAAAUGGCGUUAACAAAAUCAGUUGGAGUGUGGUUCUUCAUUUCAGCUACCCCAUCUGACUGAGGUGAAUAGGGAGGCGUUCUCUCAUGGAUUAUACCAUGUUCGGCACAAAAAGAAUCAAAUUCAUUGAAAAAAUACUCUCCACCAUGAUCAGACCUAAGCCUCUUAAUUUUCUGAUCAAGUUUGUUUUCCACUUUAGCUUUAUAGAUCUUGAAGAAAUUCAAAGCCUCAUCUUUAGAUUUUAAAAGAUACAGAUGGUACCAUCUAGUGGAGUCAUCGAUUAAUGUCAUAAAAUAUGACUUUCCACCUUUCGUCAAAAACACUGUUCAUUUCACAAAGAUCUGAAUGUAUGAGUUGUAGUGGCGCAAGAUUUCUUGUUUCUGCAGUUGCAUGAGACUUACGAGGUUGCUUAGCUUGCACACAAACUUGACCCUUAGAUCCCUUGAUAGAAGUGAAGUUCAGGAUCAAGUUCAACUUGACUAGCCGCGUCAUAGAACCAAAAUUAACAUGACAAAGACGUGAAUGAAAGACAUUUGAUUCUCUAUUAUUGCAAACGUGAUUAAACCCUUUAUUACAAAACAUCUAAUAAAGAUAGUCUGAACAAGCCUCCUGACUCAUAACCUUUACCAAGAAAAGUUCCAUACUUGGAUAUAAAAUUUAUUGGACUGAAAGACAAACUUGUAGCCAUCUCAACAUAGAGGAGAUCCACUAACAAGAUUUUUAUUAUCGGAGGGUACAUAAUGCAUGUUCUUCAGCCGCAUUAUUUUUCCUGAAGUAAACUUCAGAUCGACCGUGCCAACACCACGAACAUAAGCACUUGAACCGUUUCCCGCCAGGAUGGAGGUAGUCCCUGCGGCCUGAUAUGAAGAAAACAUAGAAAUAUCACCGCAUAUAUGCACAUUAACACCCGUAUCAAUCAACCAAUCAGGAGAACGACAUAGUGAGAGAAUAGUGGGAAGUAUACCAUACCCAACAUCCUGCAUCUCAGCAUCACCAAUGAUAACAUUAGCAAUCUUGUCGCCUUUCCCAUGUUGACGCUUUUCAUAACGGUUAGGGCAACUAGGUGCCCAAUGAUGAGGAUCUCCGCAAACAUGACAAACACCUUUCUUUUUGUCAGUCUUCUUCUUGAGUGUGCUGUGAAGCCUUGUUCUUCCCAUCAAACUUUCCCUUACCAUCAAAUUUGCCCUUGUUAUUGAACUUGUGGGGUUGGAAGUUUUUCUUCUGCACCAGAUUGGCACUAGAACCUCCUUCCAUACCUCAAGCAUGUAUGUCUUGCCUUUUCUUCCACAUCAAGAUUACCAAUGAGAUCCGGAACGGAAAACUCCUUCCUCUUAUGAGUGGGAGAGGUAGCAAAGUUCCUCCAUGAAGGAGGAAGCUUAGUAAUAAUACCUCCGGCAACAAACUUCACCGGUAACAUACAAUUGAAGUUCUCAAGUUCUCCAGCAAAUGAUUGUAUCUCGUGAGCUUGUUCAACCACAGAACGCUCAUCAGUCAUCUUUAUUCAUAGAAUUGUUCCAUGAUAUACAGCUUAGUGCCAGCAUUCGAGACUCCAAACUUGGCCUCGAGCACGCUCCACAUAUCUUUCCAUUGUCAAUUGACGCAUAAGCAUCAACAAUGUUCUCACCAAGAAUACUCAAGAGAGCAUCCUUAAACAAGGUAUCAAUUUUCUGAAAAGCGAAUUCCUGUUGAGGAUCAAGAAUUCCUUCAGGUUUGCCAAGAGUGGCAUCGUAGCAGCUCAUGGUUUGAAACCAUAGAACAUCCCUUACACACCAUCUCUUAUAGUGCACACCCUCGAACAUAGGAGGCCUCAUGGAAGCAGCAAAACCACUCGGGGUAAAUUUCCUAAAAUAAGGUCUUCGGAUUGUUGGAAAUAUGAGCGAUUUACCAAGUGAUUUUACUAGCAGAAAUAGUAGAUGAAUCAUGACUACCAUAGCAAUUAUAAGACAAGCCAGUCGAUUAUACACAGAGUAUGCAAGUAGCAUAUGAAGUGAUGAGCAGGAACGAAACAUAUCUAGAAAAGAAACUAUAACAAGAAGUUGUGGCAGGAACUCAAACAAGAAGAACACGAGAACAUACUGAGUUGGAGCAGCAGCUAUAGUGGGAUUUGCGUUGACGUCGUCAUUGGCCAUGUUGCCGAAGAGGCUGUCGAUGUCGGGGAAGAAGUCGUCAUCCGGGAAGUAGUCGUCAGCGUUCGUGAUGGAAAAGCCAGUAGUCGCAUUGAGCGCUCCCCAAAAACCUUAUCGCCCUUCUCCAGUACAUGACUCAAAGAGACGGGGUUUCGGAGGCCUACUGUUCCGACCUGCGGUGCACGUCGCAAGCCGGGGCGGGGAAAAGCUAGCAGUAGCUCAGAGAUUGGAACUCGUUGGCAUGAGGAAGAUGGUAUUCUCGUGUGUCUCUCUGGAGAGGAGCGACCUGUCUUUUAUAGGCCCAUGAGAAGGAGGCAGGCACGCAACAUCGGGAGGCGAAGCAAAAGAGAUUGCAGUCAGGUUGAUAAUAGUCGAGUGACAUUACUUCGUCGGUCCAAACUAAGGAAUCUGUUAUAAAUGUUUUGAAAUAGAUAUUGUUCUCUCUUUGAUCAGGGAUUGCUAUAUGAAAAUAAGUGGAGUUUGAAAAAGGGAACGAAAUGCUCAAACCGGAACUGCUAGAGGAACGAAUUUUCAAUAGCAUAACUUGGGCUCCUAGAAUAUGGUGCCCUUGAGACAAUCUAUUUGAUUGCAGGGUUUUGUUCUGAAGCAAAGAUAUCCGCAGAGGACGGUUCGUUCGUCCUAUUCUGAUAUUCAGGACCAAGAGGUACUGCAUUCUCUGGCUGAAAUGCCAACGGAACUCUGUCUAUUCUCUAAUUCACCCGAUCCGAUAGUACCUGUUUUUGGAACGUCCAGUGCCAAAGUCAUUGAAUGGGUAAGUCACGAAUCCAAUCCCUUUGACAAAUCGGAUGUCAUAUUAUAUAUCAUAUCCUAUAUAUAUAUAUAGAAAUAUCAUAGAUACCCCGUUUCGUGACGAGGCGAGACGGGCGGCGGAGGAGGAGGAGCGUGCGUGUAUGUCUCUCUUGUUCUCAUGCUCAUACAUGUGUGGAAACAUCCUUUCUUAUAAGGAGGUCCAACUCCUACCAAACUAGCAAUGUGGGACUAAACUUUAGUCCCUCCUCUUGCCUUGCACGAGUGGGCUAAGUGGGCCUCUAGGAUUUAUUAGAAAUUCUGAAAAAGGUCAUUGGGCUGGCCCAAAAUUAUAAAAUUCUAGCACAUAAUUGGGGGGGGGGGUAUACCUCUGGGGCUCCCGAUAGUCCGAUGAGCAGGCUGCCGGACAUGAGGCAGACAAAGGGAUCCGCAGCGCUCGGCCAUAGAUUAGUGUAGGGUAUCCAUGUCGUUAGAAUGGAGCUCCACGCGACCAGACGUGCACAUAGUUUUACCUAUUUUAGUUCAAAUAUGUCCAAAAUGCAAUGAAUUUAGUCCGGUUUAUAUGAAAUCCGUUGUGUUUGCAUGAGUUUCAUCUGCUUUGUUGGAAAAGUGUUUGAAAUAUACUUCCUCCGUUCCAAAAUAUAAGACCUUUUAGGAAUUUCACUAUAAGACUACACACGGAGCAAAAUGAGUGAAUCUAUACUCUAAAAUAUGUCUAUGUACAUCCGUAUGUAGUUUAUAGUGCAAUCUCUAAAAGGUCUUAUAUUUAGGAACGGAGGGAGUAUGUGAGUAACGAUGGAUGACCGACAACACUCGAGAAUAUCAUUUUUGGUGGUGCUCCUCAGGUGCCGAGUCAUCACUUUCAAGGUGAAAACCUAAGGUCUAACUUUCGUUUUGUGCCUUAUAUUAGAGUAUUUAACCAAAAACCACCAUAAUUCAUGGAAACGUGCCUAGAAACUACUACUAUACGUUUUUGUGCCGAAAGCUACCAUUUUUAUCCUAAUCAGUGGCAAAAAACUACCAAGUGUGAAUAUUGCUCCAUUAGCCUCUUUGAAAUGCCUUUUAUCCUAAUCCGUUAACUACUCCAUUAACCUACCUGGCGCAGCCCCGCCGCCGUCGCCAUGGCCUCGCCCAAAGCGGCGGCCGCCCCGUGCCUCGCCGUCGGCAGGCCUCCUUGUCGCCGACCACGUCGCCGUCGGAUCCCGGCGUCCUGCGAACCGCCCCACGCUGCCAGUCUCCAUGCCCUCGCACCGAGCGGCGGCCGCCCCGCGCCUCGCGGCCGAAGGCCUCCCGUCGUGGACCCUGCCGUGGUUGGAUCCCACCGCCUCGCCUCCCUGGCGCAGCCUCGUUGCCCCGUGAACCGCCCCGCGCCGUCCAUCGCCAUGGCCUCGCCUCGAGCGGUCGUCGCCAGCGUCUCGCCGUCACCAGAUCCGGCAGGCGUCGCCCUGGUUCCGCCUCUCCCGGACCUCCCCGCCGCCCUGCUCAUGCCGGAGUGCUGCGUGUAGAUCGCGUCGUCUCCUCCAGAUCCGGUCGCACCGCCGCCGUACUUCAUCUUCUCCACCUCCGGUGAAGGCCGCCGCCGUCUCGAUCUCUUUCUCCGGUGACGGCAAACUUAACGGUGCUGACUUUUCCGUCCUGACAUGUGGGCCAACCCUGUCAUAAUGAGUUUAAACGAGCCAAAUGAGGCGUUUUGCAGACUUGAUUGUUUUUAGUCACAGAUUAGCAAAAAAAAAUUGAUAGUUUUUGGCGCAAAAACGAAUUGUGAUAGUUCCUGGGCACGUUGGCGUGAAUUGUAGUAGUUUUUGAUUAAAUACUCCUCAUAUUACCUUGAUGAAGGUAUUGUUUCGAGAGCUCGGUCUUUUUAAGGGAGAAAACCUAAGAUCUUGGAUCGGACGACGAUGACGCUUGUGCACCGAUUUUUUUUUAAAGGCAUCAUUUUUUAGGAUGGUUUGAGUGUCGCUGCUGCUGAGAAGAGUUGUUCACUGUGACGAGUAGUUGAAAAUGCUCUUACUAUUACAUUUUUCUUUCAAACACGUUACAGUUUACUCCCACCUCAAGUAGUUCCGAGCUACUGUACGUAGUAGCCACACACAUGGAGCGACUCACUCACCUCCAACCAAUUUAACUUUCGUGAAUCUUUGAUCGCUUUUCAUUUGGCCCAGCUCGACGUCACGCGGAUGUCCCCGAUGGAUCUCGCCGGCCACACGCCCCUCGACGACGACGAGAUGAGCAGCGUGUGAUCCUCGUCGCCCCGUCCAUCCAACCGAAGAUAAGACGCCCACUCCCUCCCCUCCACAUGGCACCCACCCUCCAAUCCCUUACUUAUUCCCGCCCCCCUCACUCCUCCAUCCCCUAGCUCCACCUCUCAUCCGCUCCUCAGCCACACCUAGAGCAUCUUAGCUCCAGCUAGCCACCAAUGGCCGCCGCACUGAGCCUCCGCGCGCCCUUCUCCGUGCGCGCUGUGGCGCCACCGGCGCCCCGCGUGGCCCUUGCGCCCGCGGCCCUCAGCCUCGCCGCCGCCAAGCAGGUGCGGGGAGCCAGGCUCCGCGCGCAGGCGACGUACAAGGUGAAGCUGGUGACGCCCGAGGGCGAGGUGGAGCUGGAGGUCCCCGACGACGUCUACAUCCUGGACCAGGCCGAGGAGGAGGGCAUCGACCUGCCCUACUCCUGCCGCGCCGGCUCCUGCUCCUCCUGCGCCGGCAAGUUGGUGUCCGGCGAGAUCGACCAGUCCGACCAGAGCUUCCUCGACGACGACCAGAUGGAGGCAGGGUGGGUGCUCACCUGCCACGCCUACCCCAAGUCCGACAUCGUCAUCGAGACCCACAAGGAGGAGGAGCUCACCGCAUAAGCUGCUUACCCUGCCUCUCUUUGCAACAAGAUCGAGCUGAUAUCAUAUUAUCUCCCAUCAUGCAUGCAUGCAUGGAUAUCGCCAGAUACACCGAUUUGUUUGUGCUCGAAUGAAUUGCUCGAUGCAUGGUUUGCUCCAGUAAUAAUGUCUUCGAAUUACUACCUUUUUGUACCGUAAGAUAUACUACUGUCGUAAUACUAGCGUGUACUUAAUUCAACGUACUGAAAUGAAUCCUGAUGGCUGAGGUGUCUCUCUGAUUAAUAAUAUCUUCUUUUUUACUUAAGAUAAGAGACUGCUGAAUGUUGGUUGCUAACGGUGGUGGUUGAUGUUGAAGUUUUGUUGCUGCAAGUUGAUUGCUUCGCCGCGUUAUGCCUUGCCUUGUUUCUCAUUUAUGUAUUUUUGAUGAUGCAUCGUCGCACUAGGUAGCUCUUGAAUUGUGUUUGGGGGCACCUUGAAAUUAAUAAACAGUAAGGUAGGUCACAAUGUCUUCAACCCCCUUUCUAGAAACCACUCUAACAUCAAAUAGAAUAUUACUCUAUUGAUUAGUACAGAGAUGCUAUAUACACUUUGUCACAGUUUGUACAGAGAUUGUAGGUGAAUGCAAUUGAAUUAAACCAUAUGUGACAUGCACCGUGAAGUCGAAACCUUGCAACAUAGUGUCAGAAAUAACAAAUCGAUGUCUUACUUCAUUAGAUGUGGAACCAUCUACCCUCGUUGUUGAUCAUCAUAAUGGUUUUAUAAACCCCCAACAUGUUGUGUUUUAAAACGAUUGUACCAUGUUCUUGUUUCGACUGCCGGGGGGAGGGCUCGUGAUGACCUACUCUUUCUCAAGUUAUCAUGUUAGUCACUUGGAUGACUUAGGCCCUGUUUGGAACUAUAAUACUCCCUCCGUUCCAUAAUAUAAGUCUUUUUAAAGAUUCCACUAAAAAACUACAUACAGAUGUAUAUAAACAUACUUUAGAGUGUAGAUUCACACAUUUUGCUCCGUAUGUAGUCCACUAGUGAAAUCGCUUAAAAGACUUAUAUUUAGGAACGGAGGGAGUAGAUUAUAAUAAUCUAGAUUAUGAAGAUAGAUUAUAUAAUCUGGUUUAUAAAAAUAAUCUAGAUGGACAUGUUUGGAGGCCGGAUUAUAUAAACUGUAAUCCAGAUUUUACAUUGCAUAAUGACCUGUCUGCCCUCUGUUUAAAAAAAAAAAAGGGUGGCGGUGGUAGGAAUGUAAUUAUCUCCAACUUUACAAGGGUAAUAGAUCAUUAGCAAUCCAUAAUCUGAUUUUAGCUGGUAUAGACUAGAUUAUGAGUUUUUAAUAAUAUAUCCAUCUAGUUUUUAUAAUCUACACCAUAAGCUGUCCUGUUUGAAGACAAAAUAGAUUAUAGAAACUGGAUUAUAUAAUCUGGAUGGUUCCAAACAGGGCCUUAGAUGGAGAUAAUGCACACCAUUGAAAAAAUUAUACUUAUAGAUAGGGUCACUUUAGUGGCUGGAAUAGUCUCGGACCUGUCACUCGUACUUCGGUCCAACAACGUACAUGCCAUUGCAAUUUACUGAGCAGGGAUUGCCGCCCGCCACUGAUUUUCUAGUCCCACAUUGGCCAUGGGGAAACCUUUUCAGUGGCGGGCGGUCGGGUACAACCUACCACUGGCAGUGAAGUUGUCACUGGCAGGCACCGGUUUCCUCCAACCAUUAGUGCACCACAUAUGUAAUUUUCUAAUUUCCUGCAUUUGUUUUUACAUUUUAGUGUGGUAUUCUUUUGUGACUUUGUUACUGUAUGAGAAUUGUUUGACCUUUGUAGUAUCUUUAUUUGCUAUAUUUUAGACAUUUUAUUAAUAAAGUUGUAUUUAAUUGAAUAUAAUUAUAUUUUUUGAACUACAACUAUAUAUUUUAAAUUACUUUCAAAGGUUCGAAGACAAAUAUUUAUGUCUCGUGAAACAAUAGUAUUGUUUCACCAAUAUUUGAGCAGUUUUUCAGCAUAUGUAGUUCAUAUUUAAUUUAUGUCCAUUAGAUAAACUAAAAAUGCAUUUAAUGCCCCAAAUAUAUCAUAUAAACCUAGAAACGCAUUUAAUGCCCCAAAUAUAUCAUAGAAAACUAGAAUAGUCCUGAAUUUGACCAAGGAACUUGUAAUGGUGUAUACCAAAAAUAAAAAAAGUUUCUGUUAAAAAAUGAUGAAAAAAUUGUGUUCCCAUUCAAACCCAACAUUUUCCCUUAGAAACGUUGAUACUUCCGUGGAGACUGUUAUUUCUACGUGAAGUGCAUCGGAUUUUUUCUGUGAGUCUCUAAUUUUGUUACCACACCUUCGGUUUCAUAUCAUGACACCAUGCAAAGUUCCAUCAUUUUCAAACUGAAUUUACAUCUAUGUAUAAAAAAAAUCAAUACUCUUAAUAGCUAGAAAUUGAUCUGAUGCUUAAAAAUAGCAAAUCAACCCAAAAGGUGAUAAAGUCUAUCAUGAGUCUUUAUGAAGUAAAUUCAACCCCACAAAAGGUGGAAAUUAAAUUCUACCCCUAAAGCAGUAAAGCAAACAUAUUGCAAAAAAUGCAAAAAAGUAGCGUGCGACCAUAAACACCCUCCAUUGAUUGAUUUUGGUCACAUUCCCGCGAGUGAGUGGGACAUGCCCGCACCUUCAACCUGCAAAUGUGGUUGCCUUAUCCCCCAUUGUCGACCUCUCCCAUCCGACUCUACCCAAUCCCUAGCUUGCAAUCACCAUUGCUGCACCCGUCGUUGUCGCCGGCGAGGGAAUCAUCGUCUUUUUCAUGGGUUGUCAUUGUUGCAACAACCCCGGUCAGCGUGGCCGAAAUGCCCACCCCAUGGCCUCCUCCACCAGCAAUGGUGGCCUAACCCGCUGCCACUAGCCUCCUCUUCCUCCAAGCCCGAUGCCUUUAACUCUCCCCAUGUCUCCUUGCGCGUCGGUGGCCCCAAUCUCCUGGUUGUAUUUUGCAAUUGCAAAGGACAUUGUAUUCGUUGUGAGAUACUUAAAUCUGUUGAAAGGAUAUCGAAUUCUAUAAGCAACAUGCUUCUUGCUUGUGGAAUGUGCAGGCUAUUCUUUCAUGGAAAAUUUGGUCUUAGGAUACUUGGGGAUAGGAAAUAGAGAAUUAAUCAAGGUAGAUUGUUGUUAAUCCAUUUUGCUUCAUAUCCUUCUAUUGAUGUAUGAUUAGCUCGUUCUUUCUAGACUACGCCAUAUACAUCAUUUCUUUAGCAAAUUUAUUUACUCCUGCUUGCAUAACUAUGUCGUAUGCAUCAUUAUGCUUAGCUCCUGCUUGCAAGAUUACUUGAGGAUAAUAGGAAGCAAUUAUGGUUUCAGAAUAAACCAAUCAGAAUAAGAAACACAUCCUCUAUACUCACAUCAUCUUUUAUACCUCAAUGCUUGUAGGUGUAGUGUUUUUUGCCCCAUGCAAAUUUGUGUUACGUCAUCUUUUAGAUACAAAUCAUGGUACCCUUGUUCCUGUCUUGACAUCAUGGUCAUGUUUUAAAAAAAGCAUUUUCUUAUUUAUGUUACACCCCACAUGUAUGUAUACAUAUAUUUCUUUUUUAUGUCUCUUUGAAGGUUGUUAGUGCCACAUGUAGGUGGGGUUGUAUUUUUUUAUUGGUGAAAGUUGUUGGUUCUACAUGUUGUGUCACCUUAUAUAAGGUGUAUUACACUUUAAAUAGUAAUGUGCAUAUCUCCAAAAUUUGUAGGGCUUCAAAAUGAGUGCCAAAAUUCUGGCGAAAUGUUGAUUUAUUUCCAUUUCACCACAUUUUGAGCACUCAAUAUUUUCAAUUUUUUUAGCAAAACUAUGCCCAACUUUUCCAAUGAUUCAUAAUUGUUUACCCUUAUUAUUUUAUAGAUGUACUGGCUAUACUAUAGUGUAUAAAUGAUGCGACGAACUAUGUGUUUUCUAUUUAAUUUCUCAACAUGAAUGUAUGCAAUCAACCAUGUAUACCCAUGAUGUGGUAACAUCAACGUAGGUGUGUGCCACAGGUGCUUAUCAACUCUAAGGAAUUCUACGUAGAUCUUGACGAGAACUUUCCACAGAGGAUUGUACGUUUUAAUUCAACAUGUGUUGUGGAUGCUGAAUUGCUCACAUAUAUAAAAUUACCCAAAAAAUGUCUAUUUUUCAUAUUUCUCCAUGCAUCCCUUGUUAUGCAAGGCUCACUUCCUACAUAAAGUGAACGUGCCAUAGAGGAGAAGGUUACAUUUGAGCUCAAGAUGAUCAUGUUAAAAAAUGGCACAACCUUCAACCUUACGGUCACCAACGAGGCACACGGAACCUUUCAGUUGCCCAUGUUGAAGAGGGAUUGCAACCGAAUAAAUGAUGCAAAAUGCGAAGGCAUUCUUGUUUUUUUAGCGAAGGCGUUCUUUGUCGUUUCUUGGCGAACAAGAUGAUGAUGACAACAUCUAUAUGUGGUUCACACCGCCCCCACCACCAUAGUUGUUCUUGGUGGAAGGAUUCGGAGUUCAUAGGCAUAGUUUUAUCAUGCACUUCAUUUAAUGCAUAUGUUAUAUCUUUUUAUAAUCAUCCAAAUUUAUUCCUCAAAUAACGGCUAUAUCAUUUAAAAUUAAAAGAGAAAUAGAGUUUAGGGGACUAGAAUCCCAAAUAGAAGAGGGUCUAUAGGUAAAACUAGUCUUUGCUAGAGAAUCUGCUAUUUUGCUUCCCAAAGCAAUGGGCAAAAGAUGUGCCAGCAAAGUCCAUCACCAGAAAAUAGCAUUCCACGAUAGUGGCUGCAUCUGGCUCGAAAUUAUUCGUAUGCCAGUUCACAACCUCCACAACUAGGAUACCCAUGAUGUUUCGAUAAUCACAUUAGGUUUCCAUCACAUUAUUGCACACAAUGUUUCCAGCCAAACGAGCCCUUUGCGAAUGGCACUUAACUCUAUCAAAUCGGCACUACUGACAUGAGGCAAAUACCAUGUAACAGUGAAUGACACUUAACUCUAUCAAAUCGGCACUACUAACAUUAGGCAAAUACCAUGUAGCAGUGAAUGGCACUUAACUCUAUCGAAUCGACACUAUCGACAUGAAGCAAAUACCACAUAGCAGCGAGAGAAAGUUGCCUUUGUCAUCACGUACAAUAGCUCCCAUCGCACUCGAUUGUGUUUCAUAACGGAAAGAAGCAUCCACACUAACAUUAACACUUCCCAUGUUAGGUCUCUUCCAUAUAUGAUAUUUUUUUCAUACAGCUGAUUUGAAGUUACUGCUCUUAUGAAAUCUUUGGCCAAAACAUUGAUAGAAACUGCUCCCUUUUAGGGUUUUGGAGAGUGUAGGAUCGAAAGUAUGUCUAGUGGAGGGGGCUUCAUUAGACUACUUGAUAAGAUAAAAACUGAACCUUUUUCCUAAUUUUAGUUGUGGGCUAGUUUUAGCAAUUAUGACUAGUCAAGUUCAUCCUACUCAUGCAUAUCUAAGAUUAUAGCAGCGGAAAGUAAAGACAUGCAAAUGUAAUGAAGAGGGUAAGGUAGGAAGAUCAAAUGCAAAGGUCGACACGGUGAUUUUUGGCGUGGUUCUGAUAGGUGGUGCUAUCGUACAUCCAUAUUAGUGGAGACUUCAACCCACGGAGGGUAACAGCUGCGAGAUUACACAAAGGGCUCCACCCACAAGGGCUCCACGAAGAAGCGGCCUUGUCCAUUCCACCAUGGCUUACGUCCACACAAGACUAACCUCACUCACGGUAGAUCUUCACGAAGUAGGCGAUAUCCUUGCCCUUACAAACUUCUUGGUUCAACUCCACAACAUGAAGUAGGAGGCUCCCAAGCGACACCUAACCAAUCUAGGAGGCACCACCCUCCAAAAGUUAAUAGAUGCAAUAGAAGGAUGAACUCCUUGCUCUUGUGCUUCAAAAGAUAGUCUCCUCAACACUCAAUCACUCUCUCAUAGAUUUUGCAUGGGUAGGAGAGAUUGAUCCCAUGGAAAGCAACUUGGGGAGGCUAGAGAUCAAGUUUCAAAUGGUUGAAUUGGAAUCUCUUGAUCUUAACACAUGCAUGAGUAGGUGGCUUUCUCUCAGAAAUAUGGAUCUGGCAAGUGGGUGUGUGUUCUCAGUGCUUCCUUUUCGAAUGCGAGGAGGUGGAGGGGUAUAUAUAGACAUCUCCCAGAAUCCAACCAUUACCACAUUAUUUCCCAAUGCGGUGACACCGAAAGGAAUCUUAGUGGUACCAAGUUGCAAUAAAUGUGGCACCUUUUGAAUUCUUGGUAGACCAAUAUAUGAAUCUCGAUGGUAAAGAUACGAUGAUCUAGACCAGUUUCCAAAUCUCGGUGAGACCAAUUCCAAUCUCGGAAAUUCUGAUUGUUGGAAUUUUCUCAACAGAAAGUUGGUCAUUGAAUCUCGGUGGCUCUCAUAUGAAAGUUUGUGGUACCGCCAGAUUAGAGUCUGGCAACGGAUCCAUUGGGUGGAAAAUUAGUAGGGCCAAGUGGAAAAUAUUGGUGGCACCGAUUUUGCUCGUUUAGCUUUGGACAGGGAUAUCUUGUGGGAGAAUGGCUUAGUAGUUUUGGUGGCUAUCUCUAAGCACUUGAGCAACCAAUUCACCGUAAUACCUCACCCCCUUUAAAUAGUAUUGGCCUUCCUAUGGACUCAAAGUGAUUUAUCACAUAUGUAAAAUGUAGAGUCUUCUUGCUUGAAGCUUGAGCUAAUCCUAUUCCUUCCUUCAUCAAGGGGUUUCUCCACACAAUCCUUUAGCCAAGGCAUCUUUGAACUUUUCUAAAAUAUACUUGGAUAACAUCAUUAGUCCAAUGAUGCAUAUGUUGUGAUCAAUUAUCAAAACCACCUUAGGGAGCAAUUGUGCUUUAAAUCUCUCCCUUUUUGGUAACUGACGACAACAUAUAGAUCAAAGCUUCAACAAAAGGUAUAAUCAAUUAUUAGCAUCGACGCUUUGAGAAGUACGUGGAAAGCAAGAGAUGCCCCUAUAUUUGUGCAUUAUUUUAUAUUUGCAUUGGAAUGCAAAUGCACAAUCGAUUAGGAUCAUGGGUCACUCUUCCAUGUCACAUAUAGCUUGGUGGUGCGCAUAAAUGAUAUGAAUAAAUAGUAAUGCACAUAACACCAAACAAGCAAGUGAAUGAUCAUCAAGUAGAUGGCUCCAAGGUAAUAACGUGGUAGCAGCAAUCAAACAAAGUAUAGAUCAAACACUUCUCCCAAACACAUAAAGUCAACCAAAAGACCAAAAAAUUGAAAAACCAAAUGAGACCAAAUAAAAUGCAAACCUCUCCCUCUCGAAGACUAUUUGAUCUAUACACUUGUCCUCCUUUGGCGACAAGUUACCAAAAAGUUUGAAGGUCUAGAACUAAUUAUCUCUCUGGCUUGAACUCCUCCGGUAGAUGAUGAUGGAGUGGAUAGGAGAGCGUCGAUGAAGGCUUUUGCACAUGUCCCUGGAGCUGGAGGUGUUGACACUAGAGGUGCAGGAGCAGGAGUUGAAGGUGCUAAAGCUUGAGCUGAUGAAGAUGGUCUUGCUUCCAGAACUGGCAUAGUUGUUGACCUAGUCUGGGUCGUGAACUGAGUAGUAGUAGGAAGAGGCGACUCUUCCUCAUCACUUCUAGAGCGGGAUAUAUGCACAGAAUCAACUUUAUGCUGGAGCUGCUCAACAGUGGUAGUCAACUCCGUUACCUUAACCUCCAAGUCAUGGAAUUUUGUCUCCACGAUCCUCUCAAGUCUCUUCUGGUUCAGCAAGAUCUCGGAAAUUUUCUUCUCCAUCCCUUGGAUGGUACUGACCAAGAAUGACAUCUGCUCAUCUCUGGUCCUGAGCUAUGCGGUUGAAGCUGGAGCAUUCCUAGCAGCCGCUGUCUCUGCUACCUCUGCUGCCGCUUGAGCUGUAGCUGAGCUAGGAUGGCUAGGGUCCAUCACAACUUCAUUAUCUUCAAACUCUGGCUGAAGUGGCAGGUGGGGACGAUCAAGUAGAUAUGCAUGCUUGCCAAUCUUGGCAUUGAUGAGCAUCUGAAUAUAUGGAGCAUAUCCACAGGAUUUCUUUUGAUCUACAGCAGUCUUCCUCACAUGCUCAACUAUCAAGUCCAUCAUUAUGAACCGGAAGUGGGUGUCUAGAUGAUCCAACAUGUUGAUGGAAUAACCUCUAAUAAUCUUAUCCUCUCCUGAUUUGGGCAUGAGGGUGUAUCUCAUAAUGGUGUUUGUAGUAGGUAUCCCUGCUUGCAAGAAAUAGACAAAUCCAAACUUGUACAUCUGCACAUAUUUAUGAGGCACUGGCUUGUACAUUUUGCCGUAGAGUUAUGAUUCAUCUUGGGUUCUGAGUACACAUCCAGAUCUCCUUCUUGUGCCUUUGGAUCACCAAUUGUAGUGGCUCACUCAUACAUAAUAGACUCAUACCGGUGACCUUCAGUCAUCCAUACAAUCCUUCCGUCAGAACAGAAAUUAGCGAUGGAAUAGAAUUGCAUGAUCAUCUCAUCAUUCCAAGCAGUCAUCUCUCUGCCAACAAAAUAUUUAAUAUCGACUAGCCUGAAGUUUUCUCUCACAUGGGGAAAAUAAUGCUCACUGGCCUUGAUAUAUUCCCAAUGGACAUAUCUCAUAUCGCUGACUGCAAGACUCUUAUCAUGAAACACACUCUCAUAGAAAUCUUGUUGCUCCUUUAUGUGAAAGCGGGGAUCAACAACAGUUCUCCGUCUCACAUCAUAUGGAUCAACUGAUCUCCACUUACUCACUCCUUGAUCUCUCCUCUUUUGUAUGUCCUGAGCAGUUGGUGAGCAACAUUGUGUAGUGGCAGAUGAGCUCAAAGCUUCAUUAGAACAGGGGCACCCUCUUCCUCUUCUACCGCAAACUCUCUGGAUGCAGAGCCUUUGUUCCUCUGUGCUGCAGGAAUGUCCUUGGUAGUCUUCUUGGGAGCUACAGACUUCUUAGGAGUUGAGAACUUCUUGGGAGCAGAAGGCUUCUUUGGCAUAGCAUCAACCAUCGGCUUUUUCUUCAUAGGAGGAGGGACCUUAUGUGGAAUUUAUUCCUCCUCCUCAUCAACAACUUCUUCUGGGUCUUCAUAUAUUGAGGUUGGCCUUCCAAUAACAUAGUCAAUUCUCUUUCUUGCUCUCGUAUGACAUGGCUUCUUUGCAAGCCUAGCUUCUGGAGCUUUCAUGUCAGAACGUAUGGCAUAUUCCUUCCUCACAGUCUUCCUGACUGCGGUCUUAUCUUUCUGCUUCUCAGGAACAGAUUCCUCUGGAAUAAAGUCAACAUCUUCUUCAUCCGAAUUGAUCUUCCUUCUGGACCUGGUAGCUGCCUUGGACAAGCUAUGGGAGCUAGGUGUCCCUGGGUCAGAAGGUGUCCUCCUAGGACUAGUGCCUGAAUCCAUCUCAGCACUUGGCUCAGUGAAGUUGUUCUGACUAUCCUCUGAUCCUGACAUACUGUCACAGAGCCAAGUAGACAAUCAAACCCUAUGAAUAGAUAUACAAGAUCUAGAAGGGAUGAGCAUCACAAAAAUCAGAAGUUUUGGAAAAAUCGAACUCUGAAAAGUUAGGUUUAACAUUUAGCAAAAAAGGAUUUGUGUUCCAUCGAGACAAAAAUUUCGGAGGCACCGAUACUGACGUACUAAUUAACAGAAACUUGGCACCCUUUUCCGUUCCACUGAAAAGGAGAACUCACUUUCACCGAGACCGUUCUCGGUAGCCCUAAAAAAUCGUUAAGACCAACUUUUCUAAAUCGGUGACACCGAGAUUCAAUCUUGCGGAUGGCUAACCCUAAGAAUUCCAUUGUUCUCUAAUCUAUGGAAUUUUUCUUCUAGAUAGGAUGAGUGUAGAAGUGGACAAAAUUCAUCAAAACCUUAAUGCACAAGAAUCAGAAUUGGAGCGCAUAAAGGGGUCGGAUCCGUACCCUAGCUUGGUGAUGUAUCCGCUACGGCAACGACGACGGUGAAGAUUCCUGUUGACAACGAAGACUCCGGUGGUGAGGGCGCACGUGAGAAUUAAGGCGAUGUCCACGGGACUAGGGCGCGGCAUCGAGGAUGUGCGUCACGCGACGUUUGAAGUGAUUUUCCAAUCAUCGGGUCCGUGAGAUAUAUAUAUCUCCUAGCUGUCGGUGACACCGAUAUGGAAUUUUUGGUGCCACCGAGUUCCACAACUGUCAACUGAAAGUGAAAAUAGGUGAGGCCGGAAAGAACAACUCAGUCAUACCAAGUUAAGAAAACCUGAUCAACCCUAGGCUUCGGUGGGACCGAGAUUUUGUGGUUGGUCACACCGAGAUGCAAUUUGGGAGGUUUUGGGAUUCAGCACUUGUCGAGACGGAUCUAUCAAGCACUUGUGUCCCUAAAGUUCUUGCUCAAAUUUUGUGUUGUAGCAUGAAUAGAAUUUGAGACGAGAAAGCAUAGAUAGCUAGAGGGAAGUACUUAGGCAUUCUUGUAUAUCCAAUUGGCCAAAUGAAAUAGAAAGACAAAUAACAACAAUUGGAUAUCCUCGAAUGAGAAAAAUAUGCAUACCAACAUGCUCACACAAUAAGGUGUCAAAUAAAACAUGGUGAACAUGCACGAACAUUCUAGCAUCUAUCAAGCACUUUGGCGAUAAGGAAUUCAUCUAUAUAUGAGUAUAUUGACAUAGGAGCCAAGUAAGAGUACUUGACAAUAGGUCAUACUCAUCGAUUAAGAACAAGUGGGGUUAUCACUUUUACAUAAAACAUUAAUGUGCUCACAUCAUUUAGGAGACGCUUAUACUCAAGUCUUAGAGUAAAGCUCCUCCUAGAUGUGACAACCCCCUAAGAGGGAUAAACUAACCUUAGGUUUUGUAGUAGAAGAUUUCAAGUAGGUGUAGUAGUGGUGCAUGCUCAUUGUUGAUAAAGAUCAUCUUUGAGUUGGGAGCAAUCCUAGUUGUUUCUUACCCUUCUCACCUACAUGGGUUAGUCCCAAAGCAAAAGGAAUGUAUGCAAGAAUAUCUAUGGACAUGGCAUGAAGUGCAUGAGAGGUGAUGUAAAAAUAUGCAUUAAUUACCUUGUCCUUUGCUUACCUUUGAGGUAAUGUGUGACUCCUUGAACUAAUGCAUAUGGUUGGAGUUGAUUGCAUAUAGUUCUUGCCAAAAUGAAUAAGAGUGAAUUUGAUUGGUAGAGUCACCCCCUCAAGAAGUUUCUAGUUCUUCAUCUUAGGGACCCACAUCAACUUGAUGGGGAUCCUUGGAGUUGUGAUAGCAGUAGAUGAGGUAGUGUUAGUUGUGUCCAUGGGAUUCCACUCGACCUUGGCUUGGGUUUCUUCCUCAAAUGAUUCAAUCUCCUCUUGAAGCUUUCCCUUGCCCUUGUGAUCUUGUGGUUGAAGGUCAUGUUGAGAGCUUGUUCCCUUGGGAAGAGUAGGAUCAUACUUUUCCUCUUGAGGAACGAACUUCGGUAUGGGAUAUAGACCUUCUUCCCAUUCAUCUCCGUUGGCAUUGAGGUAACCAACACCGUGCUUCUUCCGAUGUCCUCCUAGCUUGCGCAUAAUUUACUCGAAUUGCUAACUUUCGGCAAGACUCUUGAAGACACCUCUCUCUUCCUUUCCAUAAAUCAUUUUCUUUCUCAAGUGUAACUUGGCUAAGAGAAUCAUUAGUGGAAUCAAGAGAGCUACUAGAAACAACAUCAUUUGAUCUAACUUUAGCAUUUUGUUACUAGAUGAAGAAACUUUCUUGCAUUUGUUACUAGUGUUCUUAGGUUUGACUUGUGGAAUAAAAGUAGAUAAGAUUAAUCAUUUGAAUAGAUAAGAAUAACUCUUCUUCCGAAGAUCAUCAUUGAUUGCUCUUAGAAACUCAUGAUCUUGUCCUAAAUUUAGCUUCUCGAAGCAUAACUUCUCAUGAGUUCUUGCAAGCUCCCUUUGAUCUUCUAGAGUAGUUUCACGAGCUAACUUAAGAGUGUUAAAUACUUUAGUUAGUUGUUGAGUAUCUUUCUUAUCAUCAUCAUUCGAUUUCUCUUGACUAGCAUGAUUAUGUUCAAGUUCAUUUUCAAUGUUCUCACUAGUCUUAUCAAGGAGCAAGUCAUCUCCUCCUAACAAGUCAUCCUCAUCACUAUCAGAGUCAAAGUAAUUGGGGUGUGAUACCUUGGGGCCUUUUUCCAUGAAGUUGUUUCCAGUCCCUUCAUUUGGUGAAUCAAAUAAGUCAUAGGAGUUGGAGGAAACGAGUUCAAGACCGACAACACCUUCAUCUUGACUAUAGUCAGAGUUGGAGUGGUAGCUUCUCUCAGAUUGGUUGUCAGACUCGGAGCCGGAAAGCCUUUCACCAACAUGAUCUUGAUGUCUUGUUCUUGAGAUGCUCUUGGUGUACUUGUCCUUCCUCUCCAAUUCCUUUCCUCUCUGGGAGUGUCUUCGUUCAUAAUGAUCUUCUCUAAUCCUUCUCUUUGUGAGAGGUGACUCAUCUCUUGAGCUUCGUCUUCUAGGUGACUAUUCUCUUCUUUUGUGGGGAGCCGAGCACUCAUUGGAAUAGUGUCCUGGGUUUCCAUAGUUGUAGCAGUAUCGGUCACGACUAGACGAACGCUUCUCAUCAUGUAUUGAGCUUGAGCUUCUCUCCUUGCAUCUACUUUUGUAGAACUUGUUCAAUUUUAUGACCAUGAGGUUGAUCUCUUCAUUCGUAACAAAGUUGUCAUUUGAAGUAUCUUGAGUAUAACUUGAAACUCUGUAAGUACCGCUUGACUUGUUGUGCAACUCAUCUUUGUCCUUGAGUGACAUUUCAUGAGCAACAAUCCUUCCAAUAGCUUCAGUUGGCUUGAGAUCCUUGUAGUUUGGCAUCAUUUGAAUUAAUAUACACACGGUGUCGUAUCUUCCAUCCAAGGCUCUAAGUAUAUUCUUGAUGAUGAAUUAGUCGGUCAUCUCUUCACUUUCUAAGUCGGCAAUCUCAGCGACUCCCUCACCAUCCUUCAUCUUGAACUUGUCAAGAUGACUUUGAGGCACAUCCAACUUAGAUUCCAUGACAAAAUCAGCACCUUCGUGCAGAUGAAUCAAAGUAUCCCACGUGCAGAUGAAUCAAAGUAUCCCAAAUUUUCUUUGCAUUCUCAAGGCUUGAGAAUUUUAUUGCAACAUGUUCAAUUCUUCCGAUGUCGCAUCACGAUCCGGUUCCCUUGCUUCUCCAAAUAAAUCACCUUGCACACCAACACGAAUAACAGCCCAAACGGUAGGAUUAUGACCAAGAAUAUGCAUUUUCAUCUUAUGCUUCCAACUAGCGAAGUUUGUACCAUCGAAAUAUGCACCUCUACAGUGAUAAUUUCCCUCACUAGGCGCCAUACUCUCCUAGGUUGUGAAACCAAUGCAAUGGAGGCCAAAACUUUGAUACCACUUGUAGGAUCGAAAGGAUGUCUAGAGGGGGGAGGGUGAUUAAACUACUUGACAAGAUCAAAACUUAGCCUUUUCCCAAUUUUAGUUGUGGUCCAGUUUUAGAAACUACGAGUGGUCAAGUUCAGCCUACACAUGCAUAUCUAAGAGUAUAGAAGCGGAAAGUAAAUACAUGCAAAUGUAAUGUAGAGGGUAAGGUAGGAAGAUCAAACACAAAGGUUGACACAACUAUUUUUGGCGUGGUUCCGAUAGGUGGUGCUAUCAUACGUCCACAUUAGUGAAGACUUGAACCCAUGGAGGGUAAUGACUGCGAGAGUCCACGGAGGGCUCCACCCAUAAGGGGUCCACGAAGAAGCGGCCUUGUCUAUUCUACCAUGGCUUACAUCCACACAGGAGACAAGACUAGCCUCACUCACGGUACAUCUUCAUGAACUAGGCGAUCUCGUUGCCCUUACAAACUUCUUGGUUCAACUCCACAACACGAAGUAGGAGGAUCCCAAGCGACACCUAACCAAUCUAGGAGGCACCACCCUCCAAAAUGUAAUAGAUGCGGUAGAAUGAUGAACUCCUUGCUCUUGUGCUUCAAAAGAUAGUCUCAUCAACACUCAAUCACUCUCUCACAUAUUUGGCAUGGGUAGAAGAGAUUGAUCUUGUGGAAAAAACUUGGGGAGCCUACAGAUCAAGUUUCAAAUUGUUGAAUUGGAGUCUCUUGAUCUCAACAGAUCAGUAGGUUGCUCUCUCUCAGAAAUAUGGAUCUCGCAAGUGGGUGUAUGUUCUGAGUGCUUCCUCUAUGAAAUUGAGGAUGUGGAGGGGUAUAUAUAGGCAUCUCCCAAAAUCCAACCGUUACAACAUUAUUGCCCAACUCGGUGACAUUGAAAGGAAUCUUGGUGGUAUCGAGUUGCACUAAAUGUGGCAACUUUUGAAUUCUCGAUGAGACCAAUAUAUGAUCUCGGUGGUACCGAUACGAUGACCUAGACCAGUUUCCAAAUCUCAGCGAGACCGGCUCCAAUCUCGGAAAUUCUGAUUCUUGGAAUUUUCAUAACAGAAAGUUGGUCACUGAAUCUCGGUGGCACUGAUAUGAAAGUUGGUGGUACCGAGAGAUUAGGGUUUGGCAAAGGAUCUCUCUGGUGGAAAAUCAGUAGGGUCGAGUGGAAAAUAUUGGUGGCACUGAUUUUGCUGGUUUAGCUUUGGACAAAGAUAUAUUGUGGGAGAAUGGCUGAGUAUUUUUGGUGGCUAUCUCUAUGCACUUGAUCAACCAAUUCAUCAUAAUACCCCACCCCUUUUAAUAGUAUUGGGUUUCCUAUGGACUGAAAGUGAUUUCUCACAAAUGUAAAAUGUAGAGUCUUCUUGCUUGAAGCUUAAGCCAAUCCUAUUCCUUCCUUCAUCAAGGGGUUUCUCCUCACAAUCCUGUAGCCAAGGAAUCUUUGAAUUUUUUCCGAAAUAUACUUUGAUAAGCUCAUUAGUCCAAUGAUGCAUAUGUUUUGAUCAAUUAUCACGACCACCUUAGGGAACAAUUGUGCUUUCAGAGAGUUUCACCCCUCACAAACUGUUGUCGUUGCCACCAUAUAAACUAAGAAGCCACUACAAUCAGUUAUGAUGUUGGCAGCUCCCCUACUUUGGAUUGGUUUCUCUCUAAAACCUCAAUAGUUACAGAUCCUGACCGGUCCUCACAAACUGCCUUAUGGAUCACAUCUUUCACUCCAAGCUUUUUCCAAAUUCUAGAAGCACAACAAGAGGUGAAUAAGUAGUUAGAUAUCUUCAAACCCAACAUUGACUAGUAACAUGUAUGUGACAGCCAGUGAGCACUCCAAAGCAUGGUCGAAUUCCCCUCAGAACCUUCCAUGCAAAGGGUUUAACUUUGCGACAAACUCGAAGCCUUCAAGUAUGUUGUGUGUAAGUGUUAAACAUAAGAAAGUUGUUAAACUAAAUUGUGUUCUUAAUUUGUGCUAUAUAACUAGAUAUUGUGCCUUCUAUGAUACUACAAUUACUGUUAAACUGAAAAGCCCGCCACGACAACCAAAAAUGUUGACGUGUUCACUUGGCCUGACAAACAAUACUAGUGGCGGGCAUGUAUAAUAAACUGCCACUGGUACAAACAUUAGCAGUGGUGGACGCCCUGCCUGCCACUGAUGACUGGUUAGUAGCGACAGACACCCUUCACAAUAACCCUGCCAUUGGUAGGCAUUUUGUGUCUGCCACUGCUAGCCUGUUCUCCAGUAGUGACAAGGGUUUUCCUCCAAGACUAUAUCAUUCAUACCUAGUAUGCGUAGGAGUUAUCACCCGAUUUAAUGCAUGCAUGAUAGCAUGAAUCCUUUAGGGAUAAUUUGGAAGCAAGGUAAAGAAAAUGAGGGUAGCAAAUCCUCCCUUAUCACAUGAAUUUAAACAUCCCAUGUUAUUCACUUUAUUAAGUUGCCCCAUUUCAUUAAGUAAAAUUGUGCCCCUCAAAUUCACAAGAUUCCAAAGUUGUGGGAAUGAAAAGUACAAUGAGACGUCCAACUAAAUCAUAUAAUGUUUGUGAAUUUUGAAUCAAAGUUUUUUGAUUGUGCCACAGAAAGAACAAGAAUAUUAUUUACACUUUGUUUGAGCCAAUGCAAUUUUUCUUAUGUAAUGCAAGCAAAAUUGAAUCUGAAGGAGAAAAAUUUCCAAUAGGAUACGACUUUGGGGAUCAAAUAACACCCAUAGUAAAAAAGCAUAGGUCUAUUUAUAUCACAUCUAUAUUAUCUCACAUCUAAGUUAUGACAUCAGCGAAAGUCAAUGCUUUUCCAGCCCACCGCAUUUUCUUAUAUUUAUUUUUUUGCGACAUUUUUUCAUUCGUUUUUUUAUUGGAGCGUGCUAAAAAAUGCAAUAAGACUUGCCUAUGAAUCGAACUCAAGACUAGAUGGUGGUAGUUGAGAGCUCCCACCAGUAUAACCAUUACAUGCAUUUGAUAAAUUCUAAGCGGCAUAUCUUUAAGAAAAUACAACAGAGUUGAUAUUAGAAGAAAUUUUCAAGAAAAAUGUAAAAAAUUUUAAAUGUAAAAUAUUUCUGAAAACCAAAGAAAACUUGAAAUUUCCAAAGUAUUUUUCAAAUAUAAAUAAAGUUUGUAAUGCCAAACAUUUUUUGAAAAAUUAGAAAACAAUUUGAUAUUCCGAUUUUCUUAAAAAAGAUGACACUUUUUGAAAAAUUCCCGAACAAUUUAUAAAUCAGGUACACCUUUUAAAAUUCCAAUUCCUUUAAAAAACAUGGUUAAAUGAAUAUAUUUUUAUUGUAAUCAUAACUUUUCAACAAAUGUUUUUUUGCACCAUUAAAAGAAUGAGGGUGCAAAGAAUGUUCAUGUAGUUCACAAGAAUGUCCGUGAUGUUUAAUAAAAAUGUAUUAUACAAUGGAAAAUAAUCAUAACAUUCAAAUAAUUAUUAUUUACAAUCUUUUAAAAGAAACUUCACGCAUUUAGAAAAAUCAAAACAUUUUCUAGAAAAAAUAUUUGUCCGAUGUAAAAAAAAUGUUCACGUAUUUUUUUAAAAAUCAUACAAUUUAGAAAAAUGAUUUAAAAAAUGUUUACCAUGUAUUCUAAGAAUGCUUGGGCCUGUACUUGGAAAAAAAUAUUCAUCAUGCAUUUUUAAACAAUGGUAUGUGUGUUAAAAAAUGUUCCUAGUGUAUACAUGAAAAUGUACAAUGUGCAUUACAAAAGUUGACAUGUAUUUGUGAAAGCUAAAUUGCUCCCUAAGGUGGUUUUGAUAAUUAGUCACAUCAUAUGCAUCAUUGGACUAGUGAGUUUAUUCAAAUGCAUUUAAAAAAGUUCAAAGAUGCUUUGGCUAUAGGAUUCUGUGGAGAUACCCCUUUGAUGCAAGGAAGGAAUAUGAUUGGUUCAAGCUUCAAGCAAGAAGACUCUACAUUUUAUACUUUGUGAGAAAUCACUUUGAGUCCAUAGAAAAGCCAAUACUAUUAAAAAAGAGUGAGGUGUGAUGAUGAAUUGGUUGCUCAAGUGCUUAGAGAUAGCCACCAAAAAUACUGAGUCACUUUCCGACAAAAUAUAUAUGUCCUAAGCCACAUAAGCAAAAUCGAUGCCACCAACAUUUCCUACUCGUCCAUACCGAUUUUACACUUAGACAAAUUAUAUGCCAAACCCAUCAUCUCGGUACAACCAACAUUCCUAUCGGUGCCACCGAGAUUUGGUGACCAACAUUCUGUUGAGAUGAUUUCAAGUUUCGGAUUUUUUGAGUUUGAAUUUUGUCUCACCGAGUUUUGGAAACCAGUCUAGGUCAUCGUAUCGGUACCACCAAGAUUCUUAUAUCGGUCUCACCGAGAAUUCAAAAGUUGCCACAUUUAGUGCAACUUGGUACCACUGAGAUUCUUUUUGGUGUCACCGAGUUGGGCAAUACUGUUGUAACGGUUGGAUUUUGGGGGAUGCUUAUAUAUACCCCUCCACCUACCUCUCAUUCGUAGAGGAAGCACUCAGAACACACUUACACUUGUGAUAUCCAUUUUUCUGAGAGAGAGACACCUACUCAUGUGUUGAGAUCAAGAGAUUCCAAUCCAUUCAUUUGAACCUUGAUUUCUAGCCUUCCCAAGUUGCUUUCCACAAAAUCAAUCUCUCUUACCCAUGCCAAAUCUAUGAGAGAGUGAUUGAGUGUUGAGGAGACUAUCUUUUGAAGCACAAGAGCAAGGAGUUCAUCGUUCUACCACAUUGAUUACCUUUUGGAGGGUGGUGCCUCCUAGAUAGGUUAGGUGUCUCUUGGGAGCCUCUUACUUCGUAUUGUGGAGUUGAACCAAGAUGUUUGUAAAGGCAAGGAGAUCGCCUACUUCAUGAAGAUGUACCGUGAGUGAGGCUAGUCCUUCGUGGGCGGAAGCCGUGGUGGAAUAGACAAGGUCACUUCUUCGUGGACCCCUUGUGGGUGGAGCCCUCCGUGGACUCUCGCAGCCGUUACCCUCCAUGGGUUGUAGUCUCCACUAACAUGGACGUACGAUAACGCCACCUACCGGAACCAUGCUAAAAAUCUCCGUGUCAACCUUUGUGUUUGAUCUCCCUACCUCACCCUCUACUUUUUUUUGAUGGGAAACUGUAAGCAAAACCCCUCACAACGAGUUUUUUUUGAAAUAAUAAGAACUCAAAUUCGCGCCCGUGGGGACUUGAACGUGGGUGGCUGGGUUGUACAUCUACUCCACUAGACAAGUGAGCUAGGCUCACUUCCUUUACUCUUGCAUGUUUUACUUUCCGCUGCUAUACUCUUAGAUAUGCAUGUGUAGGGUUUACUUGACUAGUUAUAGUUGCUAAAACUGUCCCACACUUCAAAUUGGGAAACAACUAAGUUUUUAUCUUGUCAAGUAGUCUAAUCACCCCGCCUCUAGACAUACUUUCGAUCCUACAAUUUGGAAAAAUAACUAUAUAGGGGUACUGGGUUGGGAAUGAUUUGCAUGAGGAGAGUGGACAUGCAACUAUGUCGGACAUGAGCUGCAUGACUGAGUCGGGUGGGUUUACGUGUUGGGGUGGAAUGGAACUAGAUAGGGGCCGAGGCAAGUUGCGUGUUGAAAAACAAAACACAAGCUUACUUGUGCAUUAAGGGUGGACUUGCAAUUGGAAGAAGAGCUAGGUUGUGAGUGGAGGAUAGACUUACAUAUGGGACAACUACAAAUUGAGACCAAUUGCGUGUCAAUGGUUGACUUAAAACUGGGAUAAAACAAACUAUGGUUCAAGUUGCGAGUUAACGGUGGAUUUGCAACUAGGAUGAUGACAAAAAUAUAGGCUCACUUGCGAGUCAUUUGUGGGCUUGCAACUGGAAUAAAACAAACUAUGAGACUAGUUGCGAGUCGAUGUUGGACUUAUAACCGAGACAAGCAUAUAAACUAUGAUACGAGUUGAGAGUUGAGAGUAAACUUGCAAUUGAGAUGAAAAACAAAACACAUACCCAAUUGCGUGUCGAGGAUGGACUUGUAACUGAGAAAACAAAAAUAUGGGCCCGACUGCGAAUCGAGGAUGGACUUGCAACAGGGACAACAAAAAAACUAUGAUCCCACUUGUGAUUCGAGGACAAACUUGCAAUUGAGGCCCCUACAAGUACAAAGCCCUUAGUUACGAGUUGAGGUUGGAUUCGCAACUCGGGAAACUACAGGUACAGAAAGCCCAGUUGCGAGUCGAGGAUGGACUUGGAACCUUGAAAAUACGACUACAAAAAAGCCUCUGUUCCGAUUUGAGGGUGGACUUGCAACUGGGGCAACUACAUGUACAAAAAGGUCCCAGUUGUGAGUCGAGGGUAGAUUUUCAACUACGAUAACUACAGGUACAAACCUCGAGUUACGAGUCAACGGUGGACUUGCUACUAGGGUACCUAAAAUUACAACGCCUCGAGUUACGAGUCGGCGAUGGAGUUGAAGCUGGUGCACCUACAACUACAAAGCCUCGAGUUGCGAGUUGAGGAUGGACUUGCAACUAGAUUAACUACAAAGUACAAAAGAAAACCAGUUGUGAGUCAAGGGUUGACUUGCAACUAAGACAUCCACAGUUACACAAAAACCCCUAGUUGCAAAUCAAGGAUGGACUUGCAAGUGGAGCAACAAUAGGUACAAAGCCAGUUGUGAGUCGAUGGUAGACUUGCAACUUGGCCAACCACAACUACAAUACCUUCAAAAGAAGGGUGAAACUAUGAAAUUGGGAUGAAACCAACUAUGGGACCAGCUGCGUGUCGAGGGUGGACCUGGAACCGGGAUAAGAAAAAAAGUACAAGCUCAAGUUGUGAACCGAUGAUGGGGUUGAAACUCGAACAACUACAGGUUCAGUUACGAGUCGAUGAUGACUCCAAACUUGCACAACUACAAAACUAGGAGCCCAGUUGCGAGUCAUGGGUUGAUUUGCAACUAGGAUAAAACAAACUACUGGACCAGUUGCGAGUCAAGGGUGGACCUGCAACCGGCAUGAGAAACUAAACACAGUCUGAGUUGCGGCUCAAGGGUGGGCUUGAAACUGCUAUGAAACAAACUUCAUGCCUAGUUGCGAGGUCAGGAUGUACUUGUAACUGGGACAACUACAUGAAACUAAGAUAUGAGUUGCAAGUCGAGGGUGGACUUGCAACACGGACAAACUACACAAAACUACGAUACGAGUUGUAGUCGCGAGGGUGAACUUGUAACUGGGACAACUACAAAACUACGAGUCGAGUUGCAAUUCAAGUAUAUCAUUGCAAUUGGGAUGAAACAAACUACGGGCCUAAUUGCGAGUCAAGGGUGAACCUGUAACUGGGAUGAAAAACUACACAUAGACCGAGUUGCGAGUCAAGACUAGACUUGCAUCUAGGAUGAAAUAAACUACGGGCCUAGUUGUGAGUCAAGUGAGUACUUGCAACUCGGGAAAAUACACAAAACGACUACGAGUAGCGAUUCAACAGUUGACUUGCAACUCGGACAACUAAAUGAAACUACGAUAAGCGUUGCGAGUCCAGGGUAGACUUGCAGCUGGGACAACAAUAAGGCUAUGGGCUCAGUUGCGAUUCGAAGGCAAAUUUGCAAUUGGGACAACUACGAAACCAUGAGCCCAGUUGUGAGUCAAGGGUGAACUUGCAACCAGGAUGAAACAAACUACAUGCCUAGUUGCGAGGCAAGGGAGGACUUGCAACUCGGCAAGUACACAAAACUACCAUACUAUUUGGGAGUCAAGGAUGGACUUGCAACCGAAACAAUAACAAACUACGAGCCCAGUUACGAGUUGAAUGUGGACUUGCAACUAGGAUGAGAAAAACACAUAAUGAUUUAUGAGUUUAGGGUAAACUUGUAACUAGGAAAACUAAAAAUUCAUUUACGAGUUAAAGAUGGACUCUACAAAUUCUCGGUCAUGCCAAAAAAACACACAACGAAAAUGAACAAAAAAUAUAAAGGGAUCGCGCCUCCCAAGCAACGAUAAAAGUAACAUGAGAACAUGCGAGCAUAAAACAAAAUGGAACAAGAGGACGCGCGACAAGAGAGAAAGAGCUGACACGGACGCACAUGAUCGACUUUGUGCAAACAUCAAACAAAUCAGAUGAUUAUAACUUGAUAAGACAUCACUAAAUCUCAUCUAAAUAAGAUUUAGCAAAUCUAAAAAAUAUCUAGUUACACUCUCCUCUACUACACAGUCAAACUAAAAUAAACAUAUAACCCACAAAAAGCUAGUACACACAACGUAAAAGGGCACACUAAAAAAAGUCAUAUAUGACCUCACUGCUUAACGAGGAGCGAAUGAAAAACACGACACAUCAACAAUGAAAGUGAAUCAUAAGCAUAUGAAUCAGAUGAGACGUUGUUAACUCACAUUUACUCCCUCCGUACCUAAAUAUAAGUCUUUUAAUAUAUUUCAUUAGGUGUCUACAUACAAAGCAAAAUGAAUGAAUCUAUACUCUAAAACAUGUCUAUAUACAUUUGUAUGUAGUCCAUUAGUGCAACAUCUAGAAAGACUUAUAUUUAGGAACGGAGGGAGUAGAUGAGAAUUAGACGUGAGUUAACAAAAACAAUAAAAAAAGAAACCCCUGGAUCAUACCGUAGUGACCCACCAAAUGACGCACGUAGAAGUAGGUAAGUAAGUAAGUAUCUUGGAUUACCUGCGAUAGUGGGAGCAGAUAGGAGUGAAAGCUUUGAAUACUUUUGUGACAAAAUCAAGAAGCUUCUGAAGGGGUGGAUGGAAAAGCAACUGUCAACAGGAGGGAAAGAAAUCUUGUUAAAAGCAGUGGCUCAAUCCAUCCCUGUCUUCGCUAUGUCAGUUUUCUGUUUGCCUAAGGGAACUUGCAAGGAUAUCACGGAUGUAAUUGCUCAGUAUUGGUGGGGAGAUGAUGAAGAAAACAAAAAAAUGCACUGGUUCUCGUGGUGGAAACUAUGCAUCCGAAGUGUGAUGGUGGCAUGGGUUUCCGCGAUCUUCACUCUUUUAACUUGGCCCUUCUUGCGAAACAAUGUUGGAGAUUGAUCACAAGGUCGGAGUCCAUCUGUGCUCGCAUCUUGAAGGCAAAAUACUACCCAAAUACAGACUUGCUACACGCUGGACCAAAGAGCGGAUCUUCGUUCACAUGGCAAAGCUUGAUGGCGGGCUUGACUGCGUUUAAAAGAGGGUACAUUUGGCGAAUUGGUUCGAGGGAAAAUGUAAGUAUAUGGAAUGAUCCAUGGAUACCCUCAAGCCCGGACAGAAGGGUGAUAACUCCUCGGCGGCAGAUUCUGAUUUCGAGGGUGGUAGAGCUCAUUGAUCCAGUCACCGGCCAAUGGGAUGAACAAUUGAUACGAGACAUCUUUUACCCAGUCGAUGCAAACAGAAUCUUGCAGAUACCUUUAAAUUUUCAAGCAUUUGAUGACUUCAUUGCGUGGCACCUCACAAGGAAUGGUAUUUUCUCGGUGAGGAGUGCUUAUCAUGAACAAUGGUCACAUAAGCUCAGGGGUCAAUCCCUUGUGAAUUCAGUGUCCACCAGUACUAUGCAGGCAGCUAUUUGGAAGAAGCUCUGGGAGUUACAAGUGCCAUGGAAAAUACAGAUUUUCUUUUGGCGGGCGUUGCGUGGAAUUGUACCACUAAAAUCCAUUCUUGCUAAUAAGCACAUCCCUAUUGAUGGGGAGUGUCCGGUGUGCCAUAGGGGACCUGAAGACAUGCGGCAUAUGUUAUUCCAGUGUGAUUUGGCGAGAAGGUUGUGUGCUGGACUAGGGCUGAUUGAUCGUAUUGAACAAGCAGUUCAAGUGGAUCGCUCAGGGUCAGCCAUCUUAGAAUUUCUCCUACUAGAGCUGGACCAACCAAUGUCGAUCAUGUCAAGUAUUAAUGACAAAGAGGUAAUAGCGGCUGGCUGCUGGUAUCUCUGGUGGCUCCGCCGGCGACACACCCAUCAUGAUUCUUGCCCUCCAUCCUUCAGGUGGCAUACCUCAAUUCUAGCAAUAGUGGGAAAUUACAUAAAAUCUUUAUCAAAGAAGAGGGAACCGGUGGAACACAAGUGGAAGAGACCAGAGGCAAGAUUUAUAAAGCUAAAUGUGGAUGCUUCAUUCCAUUCAGAUGAAGGAUCGAGUUCUACUGCAGGUAUCUUACGAGAUGAAAAGGGUGGCUUUAUUGCAGGGUUUUGCAGAUUCAUUCCCUUUGCAGCUGACGUUGUCACGAUUGAAGCAAUGGCAAUGCGAGAUGGUUUACAUUUGGUGAACUCCUUGGGCUUUAACAGGGUAGAAGCGGAAUCAGAUUCUUUGAGCGUCAUCAAGUGUUGCCAAGGGCAAGAUCAGUGGUGGGAUGCAGCAGCGGCUGUCUUUGCUGAGUGCAUAGAUAUGGCUACAUCUAUAGGAAAGGUCAUCUUUUCUCAUUGUUUUCGUGAAGCUAAUUCAGUAGCUCAUGAGCUAGCAAAGUUUAGUUUCUGUAAUAAAGUUGAGCACAAUUGGACUAAUGAACCUCCUGAGUUCUUAGUUAGCCAAUUGAUGAAUGAUGUUUUGAUUAUUUGAGUUAAUAAAGCUAGCCAUGAUGGCCUUUCCUCAAAAGAAAAAAGGAAACGCAUGUACGCGACACUAGAUGCAGCAACAAAAUAAUCCAUGAUUAAGAUUUGAAAAAAUGUAAAACAAACAGAUGAGAGUAUGUUUUUCAUGAAUAUUAAAAAAAAUGGAAAACAAGAAAAUACAAAUAUAAAUAAAAGAAAACCAGGAAACUAAAAUACUUGAUAAUUUGAAACAAAUAAUAAAACAGAAAAAAGAAAAAGAAAAAGAAGAAACAACAAAAGUAAUGCGGCAGCCGAUAUAGGCUACAGCCCAUAUAACAAGAAGAACCUAUAGGUACGAGGGCAGCUACCUAACAUACCGUUGGCGAUCCUAAAAAAAGUGAUCCUCAAACGCAACAUUCGUUUCUUCAAAAACAGGGUUGGGGGGGGGGGGAUAACAUAGUGUAUGAAACAGAACUACUAGACGGAUGAAAAAAGCAAAUCAAUCCGUGGUUGGAUGAUUGGAGAGACAGUGAUAUCCCAGCACAUCAGGGUUUAAAUCCUGAUGCUACACUAUUUUUAAAUUUAUUUCAGGAUUUCCGACAAUAUGCUUUCAGUGGGAGGAGACAUUCCCGUCGAGGAUAAGAUGCCUACAGUGACUUUGUAAAUCUCAAGACGAUAUACUCGCUCAGUCUUUGAGAGAUGUUCAUAGGGAUAAGAUGUGUGUAUGUUCGGUUUAGGAGUUAAAUCUGAGAUAAGUAUUUUACAUCUAGAUGUGAAAUAGCAAUUUCAAAAAUUCAUAUGAAAAAUCUCUGAAUGAAAAAGACUCAUUAACUUAGAAACUCCAUGCAAAAAUACAAGGCUAACUUUUUUUCUCUUAAAUAAAAAAGAAAAAUAGAGAAAAAUGACGGAGGAUAACACUUGGCAGUGGGCGGGUGAAACACAUCACAAUUUUAUUUUCAAAUUGAUCUCUAACCAGGAAAAUACCCCGCGCAUACAACCAAGACCACGCACUCACCCCAUCGCAUGGCCUCCACACGCCUUGUCGAUAUCCAUGGUGGCAUCUAGCGCCGGCCGGGUGGCACGGAUCCCCCUUCACUCCCUCAGCGUGUGAACGUCGUCGCUCCAGCCCAACCGUUGCUCGUGUUCAGGAUAAGCUGCCCAGCUCGUCCGCCCUUCUUAUUGCCGCUGCUUCUCAGCUCACACGCUCCAACACUAUCCUCUCGUGUCUCGUCGAGCUAUCUGUCCACGGAGUAGUACCUUCCCGAGCUAGCUCGCAGCUCCGCCGCAAUGGCCACCGUGGUGAGCAGCCUCCGCUUGCCCUUCUCCGUCUGCGCCGCCGCCCCCUCGGCGCCCAUGGCAUCCCGCGUCGCGCUCCCGCUGUCGUCGACGGCUGCCAGGGGCAUGAGGCUCCGCGCGCAGGCGACGUACAAGGUGAAGCUGAUCACGCCGGAGGGCGAGGUGGACCUCGAGGUCCCCGACGACGUCUACAUCCUCGACCACGCCGAGGAGGAAGGGAUCGACCUGCCCUACUCCUGCCGCGCCGGCUCCUGCUCCUCCUGCGCCGGGAAGGUGGUCUCCGGCCAGCUGGACCAGUCCGACCAGAGCUUCCUCGACGACGACCAGAUCGAGGCGGGGUGGGUGCUCACCUGCGCCGCGUACCCCACCUCGGACCUCGUCAUCGAGACACACAAGGAGGAGGAG
rnacentral:lncRNA from 1 species